CAAUGAGAAAAAAAUAUGGUUCAAUACACUUUGCAUGCUUUGAAUCCACAGGAUUUAAUUAUUCGUAAGAUUUCCACAGAAGGUGCUACAGAAACCUCCAAUGUGUAAGAGAAUUUCAUUGACAUUACUUGUGACCAUCACAAGUUUAGUCUAAAAACAGCACUCUUAGUAAUGGACUAAAGAUCAUGGGACCGUUUACCUUGACCAUCCCAGACUUCACAGCAGACAAGGAGACAUCGAUGAGGAAGAAGUACAAGGGCGGCAUCGGUGGCCGCACCAUAUACACAGUUGGAGCGACAAACUCCACACUACCACGAGAAAGCUCUGGCCUUUGGUCUGCAUCUCGCCACCGUCCGUUCUCAUCCAGAGGACAAAAAUACUCCAUGGGAAUUGAAUACAAGUUCACUACCUUCAGUGGACAUGUAAGCAUACGCGGAAGACAUUGAGAGAAUUUCUACAAUGAAACACACCUUGAACAAAGCGGACAAAACAAUCCACCGGCAGUUCGAUAGAAUAAAUUAUCCUCCUGGCCACCCGCCUCCAAACUAAUGACAUCGUUAAUUGCUUCAAACCCACCUUCGUUUAGCAUUGCACAUACGUUGCAACGCCACCGACGCCCCCCAUCUGUGAACAUCACAUAAGCAUUUAUGUACGUUCGACACCGUUGACAUCUCACUAUGGAUCCCUCAAAAUUCAACACUGUAACUUCCUCCUGCAGCAAAACUCGUGAAACUUUCGACCAACGUCAUAUUGCCAUUCGCUACAUGUCAUUCUUCAGGAGGAAAACAGGUCAAAGCUAACAUAAGAUAGUAGAAAACUCAUGAGAAGGAAAGCAUGAAUUUACAAAAACAUAACAAUCUGUUCCUUGCAACGAAUUAGCAAAUGUUUUACAGUCCUCAUACAUCACUAGAGGCAGUACCGUUCCAGUGAACACCUGCCUUUAUCACAAAUGCGAUACAACAACACGAGUGCAAGUUGCAAACAAAGCAUAUGGAAACAGGAAUCUCGUUCAUCACUAAAUGGGGGCUUAGGCUCCAGUAGCGUACCCCAGGUGGCGCCUCCGCGAGAGGGUGAGUAACGACUCCUGGGGGCAAAUGCCAUUGCGACGCUAAAUACUGAGCAUUUGGCAUGGCAUUGGUUGUAUGACGUAAAUAUCGAGGAUGACAAUUUAGGUUCCCACUUGGCUUCCCUUCCUCCGCAAAAUAAAGUGGCCUCGGAAGUGUGACUGAGUCUACUGUGCUGUCUGAUGAUCCAAGUACAGGUACCAAAGCAAGCGAUUGAAAAUCUUCGACUAAACCUUGUACCUGACGGUAGUUUUUACCAUAAGAGCCUGCUGACGGUGGGUGGCUAUUUGCGCCAGCUUGCCCAUCACUGUACUGUCCUGGCAUCGGCGGAGGAGGUGGUCCACCGUAGAAUCCAUGUGAUAGAGGAGGGGCUCCGUACUAAGGAUUAAAUGAAGAAAAUUGAGGAGGUUGAGGAAUAGUCGAUGCAGACUUUGGUAACUGCGGCAUGGAAUUAUUGUUGUCCCGCCGAUACUAGUGGCUGAGGUGGUUGUCCAAACCGAGAACCCAAAGGAGGAGGAGCCUGCGAUGGACUAGUAAACAAUGGCAUAGUGCUUGAAGGUGGAGACAACGCUCCAGGCGGUAGUGGAGGGCCAGGAUAAGUAGGGAAGCUAGCCAGAGGACCAUACCCUGAUUCCUGAUGGGGUCUUCCAGCGCCACCACCGGGUCGGAACCGAGGACUACCCGGAGAGUUUGUAUGACCAGCUGAACCUACAGAUGCGAAAUUCGGAGAAGCAGAUAAAGAAGGUGGGCGAGCACCAGGAGGACCUGCCAUGGGCGGACCUCCUGGAGGCGGGGGCCUAGCAAAGAAUGGAGGCGGUGGACCAGGGACAAGAGGUGCAGUUUGGAAUGGCUGAAAACCCACGGGGUUACCUCCUGGACGGUAAGCUAAUGGAGGUCUUACUGGUACUGAAGAAACGGAAUUCAGACACCGAUCUGCCAGGGUUUUAGGGGGUCCAGGAUGUUGGCCGGGAACAUAUGGCCUAAACUGAGGGCCAGGAGGACCACUUUGCCAUGUUGGUGGUCCAGCUCUUGGUAAUGAGCCUAAAAUCAAAGCAGUUUAUAUUACAAACUGUAAAAUUUUGAAGGAACCACACCAUACAAAUCUCUUCUGUGGAAGACAUAGUCAAGCAAAAUAUACGAGGUUGCCGUGUCUUACGUCGUUGCAGAUAAUAGUCUGUCACCGUGUGAUAUACAAGAAAUGCAUUCCAAAUGCUGUUGGCUCCAGAUCAACAAAAUAGCAUUUGUACAGUUUUCCUAAGAUUUCUAAGUACGAAAUGACGAAGGGGAGUUCGACCAGGAGGAGAAUAACCAGGAGAAGCGGAAAGUAAAGUGGGCAAUACCAGAGGGUGUAAAGGGUGAAAAUCGCGAUCGAGCAUUAGGACUUUAGAUGUUACUAUGAAACCGAGGCGAACCCGGAUUUCCCCCCCUCCUGCUGCAUAUUCUGUGAAUAGCCCCAAAUUUCAAAACAUAACGUGAUCAUACAAAAAAUUGAAGUAAAGCAGUGGUUAAUAUUGUUGGUAACCAAAUUCUAAAGCAAUGAACUGUUGGUCUACUUUUGUGGAAAAAAUGUCCCGCGUUUAUGUCCUGACCAGAGCUUCAAUGACAUUUACGGCACCUCCCAUUACCACUCCACUAUACAAUGUACUACAGUCAACUACACAAACGUCGAAAGAAAAAAUUUAAAUCACACUGCAGAUCCUUACAAACGUACACAGGUACUAAAAGUAACUCUUCCACGAAUCCAUAACCUAGUAGUUCUCGUGCAUUACCUUGUGCCCUCUACACAGUCACGUUCUCUAAAAUGCAGCAACAGAGCCGCGACCACUUUCUCACAAAGCAAUCCACCGACACCCCAACCAAACAAACUGAAUCUUCUAAAACAAUCACCGAUCAGCAUCCAGAUGUCACCAUAAUCGCCCGCAAUCGAUUUCGAGCGAGCAAAACACUUCGAAUGGUUCCACUACACCCCAGUGCACAGCAACUUAAGCGUCUUUCAAACUCCUCCAAGCUCUUCGCAGCCCCACCAUCACAACCUCGUGGAUGAAACUGUUAGUUUUUCUGACCUCGUGUUUUGUGUGGAAAGUAUUUGGUUGACUUCCGGUCGUCUCAACACGUGGCAUUGCAAGAUUGCCUUGCCGUUUCUGGCUUUUCGAACUCCUCACCGACUGAUUUCCAAUUUCGUAUUUUGGAUCCCCAUAUUCCUCUGGAAUUUCCCGUCGUAGAAAUAUGUUGUCGUAUGCGUCGUUUUUGUAAUCUGUAGUUCGACUUUACGUACCUGUUUUGGAAUAUAAUAUAAUAGGCAACAUACGAGUAGAGAAGUGUGAACUAAAGAAUAGACAUUCUGCAACUAAAAUUUGUAGGGGUUCUUUAAAUAAUAAUAGGAACUCCAUAACUAUCCAAUAAGUUUAAGUUUCUCAUUAUUGAAGUUUAUUUAACUGAUUAAUUAAAAACCAAAAACAUAUCAAAAUCAAAAUGUUUUAGUCAACUGUCAGUGGCAACUAAUGCAAGAGGGUCCUGCAAAUAAUGCAGGAAGUGGAUAAUAUUUAUUGGCAAUGUAUCUAUGUAUAAGGUGAUCUCCUUGCAGACAACUAGCUAACACUAUGCCUUUUUAUUUGGGGGGGGGGGGGGGAUUUUUUCCUUUCUUGGCUUUAAAUAGGGUGGUUGUUGAGGGAGAGACAUUGAAUAUUUUAUGCAAAACAUGUUGCAAUUUUAUUUUAUUUUUCAAACAUAAUAAUUGCAUAAAAUAUAGUAUAAUAAAAUAAAUCACAACUUUUUCUUUGUUUGUUCUUUUUUGGCUUGCAAAAACACAAAAAAGAAUAAUAAUAAUAAUCUUUAUUUAUUUUAUUUUUGUAUUGUUAUUGGGAUUAAAUAUUGAAUUGCCAAACAUGCCCUAAGCAUAAGAUACACACUUUUCUAAUUAAUUCAUGUUGUGAGGAGGUCAUGGAGGUGUAGCAAUAUCAAUUGGGGAUGUAGAUCACAAGAAAUAUAUAUACAUAUAUAUAUAUAUAUAUAUAUAUAUAUAUAUAAUAUCUUAUGACAAAACCAAAUCUGAGUUUUUAUUAAUAUAUAUAUAUAUAUAUAUAUAUAUCUUUUUUUAAAAUUACAAAAUUUGGGCAUUGAGGCACAAUUUAUAUUUGUGAGUUUCAAAAACAAAUCUAUUUAUAUAGCACAAAUAUUUUAUUUAUUGGAAACAUCUAUUAUUUAUAUUUUAAAUUGAAGAUAUAAUAUGCCCACAAGUUGCAAUCUAUUAUGAAUGAUUUGUGAACAACCACAUAAUUUCAUUACAUUGAGAUAUAAGACACAUGGUCCUCUAUAGUAGUAUGAAGAGGGUUUUAAUGGUAUAACUAUAAUUUACUGACAGUAGAUUCUACAAUAAUAUUUUAAGUGUUUGGUUUUGACACAUUGUGCAUUAAAUAAAUAAAAAAUGCAAAAUGAACUUAUUAUUUAUAAAGUGGCUCUGAAUUUUAAAAAUAAUGACUGUUUGCAUGGCAAGGUUGAAUCAAUUUGUUAAGAAACUUAACCCAAGACAUACAUGGAAAGACAUAAAAAUAAAAUUGUUCACAUACAUAUAUAAUUGUUAUGUUUUUGACAUGUAUUUGUUCAAUUGUUUAAAUCAUCCAUACCAGCCAAUACAAUUCUGACCAGCCUUUUUAAAACCUUUAUAAAAACACUCGUGCACUUUUCCUGUAAAUUAGAUAAAUUAUAAUAAUUAAUAUUUUAAUAUUUUUAAUAUCUAAAUCAAUGUUUGAAGUGAAAGCGGCUACAAUUGUGGAUUGCAUAUAGUAGAUAUCUGAAGAUUAAAGAAAUACAUGCUUCAUAUCUCAUCUGUAAUAUCUACGAAAGAGUACUGGUCGUAUUUAUCGAUACAAAUCUGAUUAUAAAUCGAUUUUCAGAUUAAGAUGGUGAGGGCAAUACAUAUACACUUCGAUCUGAGAUACAUAUUUUGGUCUUUAUAGAAAAAAGGUUUUGCUCAGGCCAACAGAAAAUCUUGGGAAGUAAUCACAACUGUAAAUUAUGAGAAAGAAUGAAUAAUUGAAGCAUUACUAACUAUGGAAUCAGAUUGUUCAGCCUUACUGGACACAUUGCCGUCAAUACACAUGGCACACCACCAUUAUAUUAACAGUAUCCAACGUGGAAGCACAGAGACGAGUAGGCCAGUAAAAUUAUGCGUUCUAUACAAUUUCCGAGUGCAUGUCAUUAUGAGCGCAUAAAUACUACAGAAACGGAGAGAGUGAGAGGUGAAUUGAGCUGAUCAGUUUGGAAGUACCAUCAAUCAAUAUUAUUUCUUCUUCACACAGCAAACGUGAUAAGGGUGUAAUAAGUAGCGAAGUCAGUAUAGUUUGGCUAUAUUUAGUUACACAUUGUAAUUCCUUCUCAAAAAUAUAGUAUACAGUUACAACGCUUUCAGAUUAAGUAGGUUGCAUUUUUGUAUUAAAGUCAACAUCUUACUAUUGGAAGAAAAGAGAAAGAUGAACAUGAUCUGCACGAUAUUACAAUCUUUUGUCUGCAAAACAUACAAUCUUUCGAAACCCACAAGUAAUAAGUAUUUCAAGCUAAGCAGAGGGAAUGGCAAUCAAAUUAAAGGUAGAUUUGGGCUGAACAGUAAAACCACGUAAGAAACCGCACUAAUAGUUCAAAGCGAUAAUCUGGAGGUUAAUUUCAGAACUCAUCUGGAAAGAUUUGUACCAAAGUACCGUAGACAGCUUCAACGAGGAAGGAGAUUGUAAGAUCAGGAAGUACUUCUACGACGAAACAACCAAGAAAACAACUUAGUUUUCAACUUCCACUAAAAAUAACGAAGCGCAAACAAAGAGCACAAAAGAAGACAAAUCAUGUGAUAAACCAACGAUGAAGUAAGAUGAAUAAGAGGGACAAUAGAAGCCAUUCAUGGUCUGCACUAAACCCAUCUGAAAUGACGUUCAGCAUCAUCUGUGCUGAAAACAGCAGUGAACGCUCUUUUCGUAUUUAAAAACCGAAAAUUCUUGGAGAUAAUCAAACUCAAUCCUCUUCUUCUACAAUCUUCGUGCCAAGGUUGCGGAGCCCUUCGGGAGGGAUCUCAGCGACGGAGACAUAAGAGUAAAGCUCUUCUUUGGCGUCUUCAUCAUCGUUGCGCUUCCUUGCGAUCCGCACACGCACUCUAGUGGGCACAUUCCGCACACCUCUGCUCCAGAUGUGUUUGUUCAGCUUCACAUCCAACCUAACAUCACUGGUCCCCAUGGCUUUCUGGGCGAACUUGCGAAUCUCCUUCACAGCCUUGGGGGCCAUCUUCUUGAAAGUGCUGCGGUUGUAACAGGGAAAGCAAGUGUUUAAAUGAAGAGACCGAUGAACAGGAGUAAAAGCAUCAUGAAUAUACUUGAGAUCAACGAUCACAAGGAUUUGGGUACUAACCCUACACAUGACAGAGAAUUCUGGAUUUUGAAUUGUGAACAAAACUAAUGAUUACGAACAUUAUCCAUCUUGCACUUGAGGUAUAAAAACAGUCGUACGACCUUCAAAUUAAUGAAAAUACAUGUAAUAUCUGAGGAUAACACCUCUUCCACAUAAAUACACUACAUAGUAAUAUACUCCAUGAAAGACUACGGAUGCGGACUUCUCAUCAACGAGAUGCUGUUAAGAAUUAAUUAAAAAUAUCAUAGAGGCAGCAAGAUCGUCGAGUAACUGCAAAAACUGACUACUGAUUCAGAAAGAUCUGGUGAUUACGACUGGUGUAAAUCAUCCUCCAAUAAAUUGACACAGCACAGAAAACUGAAGACACACAAAAAUCCCCAAGCACUGACCUAAAUGGGUUCGAAGAACACUGUAAACCCUAAAACCCUAAACCUAUCGCAACGGAAGAUACCGAGACCGAUUCCUCAUAACUUUUCAAUGCCGCUGAAAAGAAAGCAAAAAAAACCUUCGCAAUUCGAAACUGAUUUCAGCAAACCCACGACAUCAAAAAAAAUUAGGGUUCUACACAACUAGUCAAAAAAUAACUCCGAUCGCAAGCAAACACUAACCAGCCAUGAAGACGCUUGUGGAGGUUGAUGGUGUACUCGCGGGUCACCACCUCGUCCUUGCGGCUCUUGCCUUUCUCAACCAUUGUCGCUGAUAGUGAUGACGCGGGAGACAAAGCUGCAGAAACUCCACGGUUCUGGCUAUGGCAGUAAAAGAACGAGAUUAGGUACACUGGAGCCCCUUAAAGGUGCGAGACGAAUCCCGCACCGUCGAUCUAAAAAUAUGUUCGAUCUCAUCCAUUAUUCAUUCAUCCAACAUAUUUGUCGAUUCUCUUUUCCUCAACUUUCAUCCGUUGCUUUAUUCAAUUCCCUCCUCUUAUAUCAUCCAUCAUACGAGUUGGCAAUGUGGGUUUCGAAGGGACGGAGUUUGCAACUGCGGAUUUCACUUGCGCCGUGGAGCACUGCAGAAUUUUGCUGUGUUGGAUCUUGCGUACAGUAAUCCUGCAUCUGUUUUGAGCUGGGUUGAGGACUUUUAUGUUUUGCUUCCUGGAAGAAGGAGCUGUUCGUGUAGGUUGGCCAGUUUUCGAGAGCACUGGCUGGUACAAAUAAUGCCUUGAAGACUGUCGCACGCGAGUUGACAUGUGUGUUUAACUCCCUCAGACUAGCUGUGGUUGGGUUUUGCUCUCUGAAUAGGUAGGAUUUAGGGUUUUUGGUCUGUUAAACUAGAGCAUAUUUUUCGCUUACAUCUAUAGCGAAAUCUGCAGAUAUGUCGGCGCUGAAGCGUCGGGGUUGUCGAUGGAUUUGACCACUGGGUAUGAUGUGGAUUGAAAUUACAUGGCUAAUAAACUCUGGAAUCAUCUCAUUAACACAGGAUGUUUUUGCAUGCACAUAUUUUACAGCUGUUCCUCUAAUUUUUUGUGUAAGUUUGAGGCGUAAUUUGCUUCACAAUGCUUCGAGGAGUGUCAAAUUUUUUCUUCUUCUCCUUUCUAAGUCCUUAAGUAUUUUUCUAGGACAUGAGUUGACUGCAGUGUGCUGCUUGAGUUGCUAGGAGCUAACAUAUUGUAUUAGAUGACAGCUAUAACUUGUUCAUGCACAUAAUGGUGGUGUAACUCUAUGUUUUGAUUGGGCAUGAGUGAUUGAAUUUUUUGUGAGUUUAAUAGCACUAAAUUGUUGAGAUGUAACAUCAAUUUUGUGGGUGAAGUAGUAACAUAGUUGUUAUAUGUGAAAUUUACCUUGGGAAUGCAAUGUAUAUCUUAUUUUAUAAGGAUUUAAACUUAUCUUGAAAAUUUUCUUGUAAUAAAAAAGAAAUGCCUAAGAUGUUUAGAAAUACUUGUCAGAGCAAUUGUGACCUUCUUAAAAUCCCCAAGUCAAUCUAUUUUAUUCUUAUUUAUUUUAAAUUACAUCAUUACUAUUAAUAAUCUUAUUUCUAAAUGAUCUUAUUUAGAUAAUUUUUAAGGUCAUUUAUAUUUCCAUUAUUUAUCUUUAAGACAAUUGAUUAUGUGUUAAGUUUAUGAAUAUGGAUUCUACCAACACUCUUUAAGCCACUACCAAUCUUAAUUGAACAUUAAACAAUCUUCAAAAAAGUCCUAAAUAAUCCUUGUAAAUUUCCAAAAUAAACCUUUAAAAGAUUAUUAAUAAAAUUCUAAAGAAGUAUUAAUUAAAUGCUAACCAAAUUGUAAAAAAAUCAUAACUAAAUCUUAACAAAAUCCUUUUAAAUUUUAAUUGAUUUUAAAUAAAUAUAAUAUCAAAAUACUUUCUCCUAUAAGUUUUUAAUCAAUCAUUGAUUUCACUUAAAGCUUUGCAAAAUCUUCAAAAUUUUGAUUGAAAAAAUGAAAAAUAAAUUUAAAAAGUAUUUUACUUAGAAAUUGAAAAAAAGUCACUAGUUGUGCUUAAGAGUUGGAAGUCUUCUUCUCUAAUCUUAAUAUUGAGGUAUUAGUUUUAAUAUCUUCCUCUUCAAUUAUCACUUUGUUUAGUUUUUUUUGUAAUUGUUGGCAUUUAAGUUAAUUACUAAUCCAUAAUUUUUAUCUCAAUCUAACAAGUGGAUUAUUGUAAAUCUUAGAAAGUCUUAUUAAUUCUUAAAUUUCUAAUUUUAGAUACUAUGACUCACUUAAAUUUCAACAACUCUUAAUUUGACGAUCUAAUUGAGCAAACUUAUAAAAUAUUUGUUGAAUAAAAAAUAUUUGAACAAAUUCACUAAAAUUUAUCUUCUUUUUCACUAAAAAUUCACAUAAAAAAUUAAAAUAUGAAUUCCAUUUUAUUUCUUAAAAACCAAAGUCAUCUAAAUUUAAUCUUAAAUUUCCAUAGCUCUCUCAAAGUCCUUAUAAUCUAUAACUUGUUAACAUUAACUCUCAUAGAAUCUAUUUCAAGUCUUUUUUUAUCUCACUCUUUAAUUAAAUAUAAAUCAUUGCAUGUAUUCUAAGCACAUAACUUUGUAUUUUGGAAUCUAGUUUUAACUUUAUUUUACAACUAAUACUCCUUAGAUAUAAAUCUAAGAUUUUUUUACUUAAUUUUUUUUAGAAAUUAUCCUUUAAGUUCACCUAAAGUUUCAAUAAUGAUACUUUUGAUAAUCUACUUUUUUUGCUUUGUUUAUGGCCCUAUAAAGUAAGUAAAAAUACUUUUAAUAAAAUGCAUAAUAAAAACUUAAUUGGUUUUAUUAUUUUUUAUUUUUCAUUUUCUAUUUUCUACAUAUUAUUUUUAAAUUACUUUUUAUUAUAAUUUUCAUAAAGCCUUUCUAGAUUAUUGAAAUUCAUGCAUUUUUUUUAUCAAAUAAUUAUAUUAUAACGUAAUAUUGUACAAUACACAUGUAAUAUUGUUGUGAUGUCAUAUCGCUAAUGAAUAAAAGAAAAGAAAAUAUUAUAGUAUAGAAGCUUUUAUUUUAAAAUAUUAUAGAAAAUUAUCUUUAAAAUAUAGAUAAUAGUUAAAAAGAUAGUAAAAUUAAAAAGUGCCAAUGUUGCUUUUUAACAAAAUUGGCUUCUACUUAUUUUGUAGGACCAUAAAUAAGAUAAAAUCAAGUAUAUUUAAAAAUUAAAUAUUAUAGGCAUAUGUAGGAGGGAGUUAAGAAUAGAAUUUAGCAAAAUUUACCUCAAAACGACAAGAAUUGAUAUUCAUAGAGGAUUAAUUGUCAACCAUAGCCAAAAUCAAAACCUUAGGCACAAAACUGCACACCUACGGUAUUAGGGUAGAGAGAAUUUGCCUUAAGAAAGUGUUGGGCUUCUAACUAUCACUAAUUGCUCAAUCAAGCCUUAAGAUUAAAAAAAUACCAAGUUUAUAUAUAAAAUUGUCUCUAUAGUGACAAUUACAUCAAUACAUAAGCCUUAAGUACCAAAGAUUUCCAAAAAAAUGUGAUAAAAAUAUUAUAAAACCUUGUAUAUCCUAAAGGUGAAUUUUUUCUUAACUUCAACAACUCAUAUCUCACGAUUGGACAGUCUACACAAACUAAAUUGUUACAUGAAGUACUGAUGUACUUUUAAAAACUACCACAAUAAAUUUCAACUACAAAUUCGUUACGGAUCUUGAGAUAUCACCAAAAUUCUAAUAAUAGCUUCAAACCCUUGCUUACAUACACAUGUGUGUAAUUUUCUUUAUAUUUCACAUAUUAAGUAUUUAAAUACCAUAAAAUUUUAAAAUAUAACUUUUUAACCUAGUAACACAUACUUUUGAAAAUUUUGAGCCAAAAAUUUGUCCAAAAACUAAAGAUAUAGCUCCAACCAUUACUAUCAACAAAACGACUAACUUAUUGCCUUUGAAUUACAUAUGUUGUCUUCAAUGCUAUAUAACUUCUUCAUAAAAAUUUCAAAUGCAAAAAUUCUUUUAUAAAAGAUGUAGAUCUUGAAAUAAUCCUUCUAUUUGUACCUCCUAAUCUCCAAAAUCUAUCAUAAAAUUCCUUGUAUCUUCAAAAUAGUAACAAUGUAUCUUAAAAAGAUACCUUAACUUUAAAUGGCUAUAACUUCAUCACCUUAAUUCCAAAUCCUCUAAAAUUUGUGCACAAAUUAUAGCCCAAAUUCUAAAACUUAUAAUCCUUUCUUUUGAUUCUCAAAUGCUCUUUUUGAAGUUGCCAAAAAUCCUUAUUAUCAUCGUGGAUAGCUUGUUGAAUGCCUAUUGGACAUGGCAUUCGACCAAUAGGGAUGUAGAUCUUUACCUUUUACCUUCAUCCAUCCAUACCUUACUUUCAUCCCUUCAAAUAAGUUUCUUAGAGGUUUGAUUCUUCAUCUUUGAGCAUCAACCUCUCCUUUAAUUUUUUACUAAAUAUCUAAAUCUUAUAUAAUUUAAACACUAUAAUCAACAUAAAUAAAUCUCAAAAUAAUUUUUUUUCAUCAAAUCUCUUUAAAUUAAUCUAUUAACCACUCUAAUGUACAUCAACACUUAUAAAUAUAUUAUAUGUUUUAGUUAAUUUUUAUAUAUUAUAAACAAUUAUAAUACAACAAUGGUGACUUCAACGUUCUUUUAUAAUUUGGAGAGUGGAUAUUAAAGGAAAACUUGAGAAGGAAUUUUUAGGCAUUCUUUUUAUAUCCUUUGAAUCAAUAUUGAGACUUUGAAGGAUUUUCAAAGUUAGUAAUAUUUUUGGUAGAAUUAAGGUUUGAGAAACAAAAAUAUAUUUAUAAAUUUGUAGAUUUCUUGAGUUUUGUGGUGUGUAUAUAGGUGAAAUUUAAACAGUGUAUCGACGCACUAGUUCUGAGUGUGCACGCAAAUUUUGGAAUCAAUCAAACAAUUAGAUUGAAGUAUAUGAGGAUUUUUAUAGAUUGUGAUCUUAAAAAUUAGAGUUUGAAGAUCAAUGAUUGUUUUGAAGAUCUUUAGCAAUUUAUCAAUUGGAUCAAAGUGAAUUUUUUUUCUAUAUAGCUAUGAGAUUUAAUUUUGAAUGUUUGAAUGAAAUUUGAAAAUAAUUCAAUGGUUUAAAAAGAAGAUAUUGGCAUUGAAAGUUUAGCAUUUAGGUUAGAGCAGGAGGCUAUCCAACACCUAAUUGGAUUAUCUUGCAUUUCUCUUAAUUACUGAGUGCAAUUGAUUUCAUCUUUCUUGUGCUUGUUUCUAAUUAAAACAUUAAAAAAUAUCAAUGAUUUGAUCAUUAGUUGUUGAAGUUCGGUUUUACUAUAAGGUUUGUUAAGAUUUUAUUUAAGAUCUAUGAUUUAAUUAGGAUUUGAUUAAGAAUAGGAUUUUUUUAGGAUUUGGUUUAGAACUUGACUAAAGUUUGUCUAAGACAUAGGAUUUGAUUAAGAUUCAAUUAAGGUUUGAUAUAGGAUUUGAUAAAGAUUCAAUUAGGAUUUCAAUUAGAAUUAUAUUAGUAUAUUUAUUUUUAAUAAUUUUAAAAGAUUUUUUGUGUUUCUUUUGUAAAUUCUAUUAAAUUUAUUUUAAUAUAUUAAAGUUUGAUUGAGUUUAUUAGGAAUCACUUGAAGUUUAUUUAAGGCUCUAUUAGACUUAAUAGAAUUGUUGUUGCAUUUUUACUUAUCUUCUACAACUAGGUGCUUACUGCAUUUUCAAGGAAGAAUACACAUAAUUCAAUAGCAUCAUUAUUAAAAUAUUGACUAUUCUUCUUAUUUUUUUAUAUUAAAUAGAAUAAUUAUACUUAAAUUUCUUUCAUCUAAAAUCAAAUAAUAUUAAAAAGUAAUAAUGAUUAUGUGACCAUUUUUAGUUAAAUUUUCUAUAAAUAGAAAAUUAAAUAUAAUAUUUAGAGUAUAAAAUAUCCUAAAAAGAUUUUUAUUUCUAAGAAAUUUAAUACACUUUUUUUCUUUAAGAAAAAACUUAAAAAUGUUAGUUGUUGAAACUUCUUAAGUAAAAGUCCUUAAAGAAAAUUGGGUGAAGUUUUUUCUUUGAUUUCAGAGGUAUAAACUUGCACUAUUAUCAAAAAAUCAAUCAUUUGUAACAAAGAACUUUAAGGACUUAUUUUAAAUGACUUUCGGUAAUAAUUAGCCUUUACCUCUAUGGCAAUAAGAGUGAGUUGAAGUUCUAUGUUUUAAGACUAUUAAACUUAUUUAAAUUUAGCAAUAAGAUUGAUCUUGUAUAAGAUCUUAUUAACAUCAUUUUUUUGGAGAAGCAUUUGAAACUAGUGAAUUUAAAGAUGUUUUUAUAAGUACAUUAUUGUAAUGAUUCUUAAAAUCAUUAUUAUUGCAUUUAAUUAUUUGUAGUUGCAACAAUGACAUCUACUUAAGUUAUGAGCUAAUUUAUUUCAUUUUAUAGAUAAUUAACAAGGUAAUACCUCUAAUUAUAAUGAAUAUACAUAGAAAAAAUAAUUUGAUUUUUUUAAUUAGUAGUUAGCAUUAUUAGUUUUUUUUGUUGCUUCUUGGUUUUAAAAUGAGAAACUAAUAUAGCCUUUUUAAUGGAAUCUUCAACAAUACAAUUAUAACAAGGUAUAGAUAAGUUAUGUAUAUUAUUGAUACAUAGGGAUAGAUAGUAAGAACCAUAUUUGAGAAGUUAUAGAAGUUUCUAGAAUUGAGGUUAGAUUAAUAGACCAGAUAGGAUCCACCAUGGAACAUUUUAGAAAGAGUUUAGGGCGGUUAUUUAGAUAUGGCCCACCAUGGAACCUUUUAGAAGGAGUUUAAGGUGGUUAUCUAAAUAGGUCCAUUAUCUAUGAACAUUCUAGAAAAUCCAAGGUGGUAAGAAAAAAUAUAAAUAAGAUUGGCCAAGGCUUUUUGGAGCAUCUAGUUAGGUAUAGUUUCAGACCCUUUCUCUUAAUACAAUUGGAUUCUAUAUCUUCUUGUUUUUUUUUUUUGUUUUGUUCUAAUUCAGGUUGUUCAGUUUUGACUUCUGUGUCUUAUUCUAUUUAGUUUUGUUCAAUUUUAUUCUCGUCUAGUUUGUCCUACCUUGUGAUGAGAUUUUAUGUUGCUAUGGAUUAGAAGGAUCUUGGACACUUGAAAUAGACCAGUCUUGUUUCAACAAUUGUCUUUUUCCAUAUGAAAGUAGUUCUCAAAGUUAGAGAAGGUUAUACAAAAUUUAGACAAAAAGAUUAAUCCAAAUGAGUUCUUGAAUGGUUUUUAUAAUAAUGAAAGAUGUGUUAAUUUAAAUUUGAUAAGUUGAUUCCUUUUAAUAUGAUUGACUAAAUUAACAAAAAAAAUCAUUAAAUCAUUGAUUUUGAAGAAAUAAUUUUUAAUUACAAAAUCAUCAAUCAUCUUCACAGCAUAAAAUUAGGCAUGAAAAUUCACAUUUAUAUGCAAAGAAGUAGAUAAGAACUAAGAAUAGAAUUGAAUUCAUAUAGUGUUGAUUUUAACCUAUAUUGUUUGAUAAUGGAAAUUAUUUUUUUAAUGAAUUUUGCUAAAAUAUUCAAAAUAAAUAUUUUAAACUUCUUUUGUUAAACUCUACUUAUAAAAAAAGAUGUUCUCAUCGUAUUAAAUAUGCAAUUGCAGCAAGAACUCUAAUUAUAGGAGUGUUUGAUAUACUCUUAAGAGUAGUAGUUAUAGUUGUUCCAAAAGUAGAUAUGAUUGUUUAGAUCAAUAAAAUCCAUAUCUAAGGUUUAGAUUAAGAUUUAUUAUGCAAUCAAUCUAAAUUAAAUAUCAAUGUAGCAAAGUGAUAGUAGAGCAAGUUGAUUUUUUGUUUUUUUUGUUUUUUUUUGUUUUUGUUUUCUUGUUUUUUUUUUUUUUUCUUGUAUUUUUGGUCAAUGAUAGUAAAUGUCAUUUUAUACUAAAUAUUAUAGAAAGAAUUAUUGAUUGAAUUUUAUUGUAGAUAAUACUUGAAGUUAAAAUAAUAGUAAUUGAAUUGAUAGUAUAUACAAUAUAGAAGAAAAGAAUGUCUACCUAGAGUUUUAAAAUUAACAAAAAAUAAAUAGCAAGAUUUUGAGUAAUACCAAUAUAUUUUUAUUAUUUUGUAAAGAUUUUUUUAAAAAAAAAAAAAAAAAAAAAAAAAAAUCUUGCUUCAAGUUACAGUUUUUAUUGGGUCUUAAACAUUUAGAGUUUCCAUCUAUUCCUUAUUUAAAUUUGGAAUUUUGUGCUUGUUUUUAUGUUGAUAAGUAUGUUAAGUAUUACAAAAUAUUACUGGUGAAUUAAAAUAAAAUCAUUAAAUACAUGAUUAUUAAAUUGACAACUAUCUAUUUUAAAAGAAACUACUAAAAAAAUAUCUGUAUUAGAAGUAGCUGUUAUUAGUUAUAAAAAUACAAUGUUACUUGAUAAAACUAAGAUUCUUGUUAAAUAGAUAAAUUUUAAAUUAAUUAUGAUUAGAAGAUACAAUCCUUGAACGAAUUGAGUACCUGAUAAGUUUAUGUUUAUUUUCAUUUAAUCCAAACAUAUAUCAAAACAAUUGUUACAGUUUAAGUGAAGAAAAAUCAAACUUAUAUGUUCUAGAAAAUAUAUGAAGCAAAUUAAAACCAAUUACAAAAUAAGUUGACUGCUAUCAGAAAAAAUUCUUUUAAACAAUUCUAUUAAAUUAGGAAAUGCUUUCAAAAGUUCAUCUACUGUACUUUAAAUACAAAAUGGAUUAUUGUGAAUGUAUAAAAAUUAUUAUAAACUUACAAAGGUCCCCAUUGAAAACCAUCUUCUUUCACUUUUUAUUUCAAGGCAUAUGAACAAUUAUAUCUAAAUAGGCUUUACCCUACAAUGUUUAUAAAGAAUGUACAAUUCAGUGUGCAUUGAAAAAUGGUAAUAAUUGUAUAUUAUAUUUAUCUUUAGGUGUAAAUAAUUUUAUUAAAGUAUGUUUUAUAUUUUACGGUCACUUAGUUCUGAUUAAUUAUUGAUACUAAUAAACAGAAAUAUUUAUAUAUUCUUAAUUUUAAUUAUUUUAAAACAUAAAAAACAGUCUUUUACUACAAAAACAAAUAUGCCAAUAUAUAUAUAUAUAUAUAUAUAUAUCAUUAUUUUCAACUAAGAUGAAUUUUAAUAUUUUUCUUGAUUUUUAAUAAGUUUCCCAAUAAGUUAAUAAAUUUCCCAUUAAAUAUUUAUGCUUAUAUAUAUUUAUAUGUAUGCUCACCAUUGUACAAAAACACAUCAUAUCCUGAAGACAAUCUUUUUUAAACAUAUAACCAAGAGUACAUUAGCAUCAACUUUGUAAGAUUCAAGUAUUUUUAUAAUUUUGUGUGACAUAAAAGUUCACAUGAAAUAGCUAAACUUAUCAGGAUUACGAUCAUUGGUAUCAUUGUUAUAAUUCUCUCCAUAUCACAAAUAACAAUGUGGUGAUAAUUUUAUACAAGCAGAAAUCAGAAGGAAUUCCAUGUUGAAUCGUUACGGGAUCGAUGAAUGAUGGACUAAUAAUGGAUGGAUACUGGAUAAAUGUUUGAUGAAUGAUUGAUUCAAAAUCAUGCUUCAAUCACAAGCCCAGCACAUAGAAAACCUGAACCGGGAAGCGAUGCACGUUAUGAGGUGGAACCCGUUUUGAUCGAUGGACAAAAGUAAUUCUGCAUGGAAUCUGUCGUGACGAUAACACACACAAGCCUAUGCGCGGGAGGCAGUGACGUGGAUAUCGGUGAUGGGGUGAGGUGGAAUUUGACGGGCGGUGACAUCCAAUCCAAUGCACCAUCCUGGGGUUGGGAACUGGCCACCUGGCGACAUACGAAAGCGACGGGGAAAAUAGGCGGGCUCCAAGUGGCGGAAAGCGACUAGCAGAAAUAUCAGGGACCUUGGCAAGACCAGCCCUGGAUCGACACCUCGAAAGAGGAGGGAGGGAGGAAGGGAGGGCACGCGCGGGGUGGGUGGGUGGGGGCUGGGAUCCAGACCCUCCUCCUCCGCCUCGCCUGGCUUCCGAGUAUGAAUAAUAUGUGUGUCUCGCACCCUUUCGUCUUCAUUGCAUCCUUCUCCAUCGAAUUGAGCCAUUUGAAUAUCGUCUAUAUUUCUUCCUUGUCUCGGUAUUUCUGAAAGUGCAGAUAGAAGUGCCUUUUUGUAGCAGAUUUUAAUAGUUCUGACAACAUUUUCUGAGCGGGAGAGGAAGGAUAUUUUAAUUUGAAUUUGUUGAGUGGAGGAGUUGAGAAGUUCGGGUUUGUUAGCUGCGGGUGUUGUGCGAUUUGCAAGUGUUUGAGCGUGAGAGUUGGAGGAUUUCUUUUGAGGUUACAUCAAUGGCUUUGAGUCAGAGUUCUACGUGUAGUCAAGUGAGCGGUCUUGUAGUGCACGCCGAUCUGGCCCGGCCGCAAUCGCCUAAGACACAGGCUCCGAUGAGUGCUGUUCCUGUCAAGGCGGACACGGCGUUUCAAGGAACUGCGCUGCGAUCCGUUGGUCGUCAGACGCGAUCCAUGGCGGCUCCUAAUGUUGCCUUGAAGGACCUCGUGGCAUCGAGAGAUGCGGAGGUAGGCUCCUCAGUGUCGAAGUUGGUUAGUGAAGGGAGCGAAGAUUUGGAUAGCAUUGCUACUACUUCCAGCGACUUGAGUGAGGUUGUGGAUGUCGUUGAGGAAGACGCGGGUGGGGCUAACAUUCGUGUGAGGAAAGCCUCUGGAAAGGCAGGCACUAGGACCUCCAGGAGGCGGGCGUUGGUGAUGUGCUUGGCGUUGGGCAUGGUCAGGCCAAUCUCUGGCAAUGCCACUGGUGGGUUGCAGGCAGGAAAUCUGCGCAGGACGACUUCCACCAAUCUCCGGCGGUCGGCUUCCUCCAGCUUCACUGUAAGCGGCAACCUUCAAAGCCAAGUGUCUAUUGCAUCUUCUCUCAAGGCUGCGAAUCUGCUGGACGAUAAGCUCAAGAACAACGUUCCUACGCUUUGAAUGAAGCUGCCUUUUACCAUUUUGCCAGGCUCUGAACGAUGAAUAUGUACAUAAUCGAGUGUACGCAGCGAGUGCACCCUCAACCCAUCACAUACUUGUAAAAAUAUAUGUAUCGGAAACUCGCAUGUCUUUGUACUAUAUUCAAUGUUUCAAAUAUUACAAUGCAACGAUCUGAUUGUAGAAGAUUGGUGUGAAUAUGCACCUGCUUCGACACUAAAUCUCAGUUGUGUAUUUUAAGUGGGAAUGAAAACUUUUGCAAAGUACAAUUUUGUCCUCAUCGUGUUUUCUCAGUUGCAUGUUGCUCUCUCUCUCUCUCUGUAAAUAUAUAUAUGUAUAUAUAUUUUCUCCCUUCUUUCUGUCUUUCCAUAAAUGUUAACAAUUUAUAUUAAACAAUUUAAGGUUUUUGCAUUGUUGUGCUUGUAAUUUGAAUGAAGAAAUUCUACUCGCAAGAAAGUUAAUGCUGCGAUGUAAAAAAAACUUGAUAUUAUAUUAACAUUCUUAUUACAGUUCUAAUUCGAAACAAUUAUAUGACACUACAACCGUAGAAAAGCAAGAAUUGAAGUAGACAGUACGUUGUUGGAUUAUAUCUUCAAAGAGAGAACAUACUUCAUUUGAAUAGAUAGUAUAUGGUUGAUACACCUAGCAACAAAAAAAUGUGAAGAACUCGUGUGAAGGAUAAUACGAACUGUAGGAGGAUUUGUAAUAUCGUGAAAUUAAUUGCCACAAAAUUAUUCAGCUUGAACUGCAACACUGAGGUUUAUUGCUAUUAUUAUCUUGUGUCAUUAUACGAAAAUUUUAUGAAUAAUACCACUUAAUUUUUAAAUGUCAAACUGUUUGCUUUUGGUAACUGGAAUUUUAUGUAUAAAUUCCAACAUUUGUAGAAUAACUAUACAAGUACUUCGAUAGAAUAUCUAUAAAUAAAAAACUGAAAUAUCUAAAAUUCAUGUCUGAAUUUUUUAAAUUUGAUGCAGAAGUGAACUGUUUGGAAAAUCAAAGUUUAUGAUAUUCUUGAUGAGAUCCUUCUGAGAGUUGAAUGUACUAAGUUCGUAGAGAAAUCAAAGACAAAUAAACAAACAACCAAAAACAAGUAAUUGAAAAACAGACUCACACAUGUUGAAUUGGUAAAGAUGAUAUUAUAUAUUAUUCAAAUUUUUAAACAUAUACUCUCAUCAAAGACUGAUAUUGGUAUUGUUUCCAUAUUAAAAUUUCAAAACAUUGAUAUUCAUUAUUCAUUUUACAUUUCGAUACCAAAAAAACACAUUGGAUUUGAAAGUUUUACUUACUAGAAUCAAUUCUUCUAUUAAUUUUUAAAAAGUAAUAAAUAACAACAAAAUAAAACAAAAUAAAUUGGUAUCCUUCAAUGACUAUUAAUCUGGUUUUGCAAUCUUCCUCUUCCAUCUAUUGGUGUUGUUACUGUUGAGAGCAUUAAAUGUAGCCGGCGCUUUCCAUGAUAUUUACUAUAGUCUAUAAUAAAUACUAUAGCUACAAUAAUUGGACUGUAUUAGAGAGGAACUAUUUAUCCUCUCCCCUUCUCCUUUUAUAUAUAUGAGAUAUAAUGAAAUCAAUAGACUUUUGUGUGAAGCUCUUUCUCUCCUUAGAAACUCUCUUGUGUGUAUGUGUAUUACUUACUAUUACUCUUAUGUCUUUCUAAACAUUCUCAACACGUUAUCAGCAUGAUUUGUUCUUACACAUGAUCACAAUUUUUUUGCUCUAGUCUUGACUCUUUAAACCUGUUGCUACUCCUGCUACAUGUAUGAUUUUUACUACUUUGGUGUAAGACUCAUGAUCUUGUUGCACUUCUUGCUAUCCCCUCAUACCUUAGCUGCUUACUAGAUUGCCUUGCCUUAGUUCCUUGCUUAGAAUACUUGCUCCAUCCCUGCCUCUCUGCUAUGUCUCGAGCGUAUCACCAAACAAUUACCAACUACCACCAAAUAGCCGCCAACUUUGCCGUUGUCGCCUUCCCGCUGCCACUGACCGCCAAUAAUCACCGACCCCACUGUUGACUGCCACUGCUGCUGCUUUGCCGCUAUCGCCCUAUCGUCGCCAUUGAUUGCCGUUGCCACCCUGCUGCCAUCGCUGAGUGCUCCCACCGCCUUGCUGCUGCUCCUCUGCUACCACAAUCCACAAGCUUGUUUAAAAAAUAAUAAUAAUAAUAAUAAUAAAUUAAUUAAUUAAUAUUUUUGAUUUCAAGUUCAAUUUUAUCAUUUUAUUUGACUUUAUAUUUUAAGGUACAUUUUACUCAACUUUACUACUUGAUCUUGUAUUUUCUUUACAAAUUUAUUUAUAAUGAAUGCUUCAACAUCUUCAACUGCUUCUACUAUGGUUCCAACUAUUACUAGUGCAUCCCAAUAUUUUCAAGCUCUAAUAUUUCCCACAUUGACUGUGGAUGGAAACAAUUGUCUAUUAUGGACAAAAAUGGCAAAAAAAAUUUAUUUGCAGAACAACUUUUGGAUGCCAUUAUGUUUGAAGAAUCUCCUACAAUAAGUAUUACUAUUCCUCUUGCUAUUCUUUGGAAGGCACUUAUUUUCCUUCAUCGUCAUCUUCUACGUACAUUACAACAUCAAUAUUUGGAAAUGGAAUAUCCUACAAAACUUUGGAGGAAUCUUAAAUCCAGAUUUGAUCAUCAAAAGACCAUUUUCCUUCCAUGUGCACGCCAUAAUUGGACACAUUUACGUAUCUUGGAUUUUUCAAAUUUAAAUACUUUUAAUAGUGAAAUCUAUAAUAUUGUCUCACAAUUACGAUUAUGUGGACAAAGCAUCUCUGAAGAAGAAAUGAUUGUAAAAACUCUCUCUAUAUUUCUUCCUAUAUUUGCUAUGCUUGUACAAUAACAUAAGAACAUGAAAUUUCAGAGUCAUUUUGAUCUCAUGUCCUAUUUGCUUCUUAUGGAGAAGCAAAAUGAGCUACUCUUGAACAAUGCGGAAGCUUGUCCCAUUGGAACCACAGUUCUAGAAUCUCAUGUACUUAAUAUUUCAAAGUCUAAAAAAAAACUAUAUAAACAUGGAAAAGGUGCUCAUAAGCAUUAGGGCAAUCAUAGUCAUGACCAUUUUUAUCCAUAUAGAAAGAAUAAAUAUUCUACUAUUAAUUAUAGUAGAAAAUAAAAAUCAAAGAUGGGUUCUUAUCAUAAAUAUAGAAUGAUUAAACAUUUAGCACAUGUGUGCCGUGCUUCAAAAUAUUUUAUUAAAAUAUUCUAAAAAAAUAAGAAACUAUGAGCUCAGGCUCGUGAAGUUCAUACCAUAGAUGUGUCCAUGGAUUCAAUUCGUGUUGAUGAUUUAGAGGCUUAUAUGAAUGAAAAAACCUCUAAUGAUGAAUUAAAUGAUGCUCUCAUUGAUUGUACAAUAACUUAUAUUAUCCUGUAGGAUAGACAAUUUUUUAUUGAAAAAUCUUCAACUGCAAACUAAAAAUAUGAUGACCAUAGCUGGAGCAAAUGUGAUUUGUUUCCAAUAAGGCAUAACAAUGGUAAAAUUACCUACGAGUUCCAUCAUAAAAUGUAAACAUGCGGUAUUUGCACCCUCAGCACCUCGGAGUCUGAUCAGCUACCGAAAUAUGCAUAUUAAUAGUUAUCACCUCUCAACCGCAAUUUUAAAUAGAAAAGAGGUAUUGGUUCUUGCAAAGAACUAUAAAGUUGUUGAAAAAGCUUUUGCUACAAAAAAUAGUUUAUAUCAAAUUUUGAUUUGGCCUAUCAUCAUAUUUAAUUUUAUAUUAUCUAUCAUAGAGAGUUGUGCUUCUCUCUAACAUGGAUGAUUGGGACAUCCAAGAUCUAUAUUAUUUAGAAAGAUCAUUCCAUGUAUAACUGGACAAAAUUUAAAGCUUGCAGAUAUAGACUCUAUAGAGUUAUGUCUUGCAUACAUGCAAGGCAAGAUGAUUACUCGGCCUUCAAUUCAGAAACUCCUACAAGAAUUACCACCAAUGCUUGAAAGGUUGCAUGGUGAUAUUUGUAGUCCUAUUAAUCCAAUAUCAGGACUAUUUUGUUAUUUUUUAGUCCUUGUUGAUGCAUCAGGUAAAGAAUCACAUGUUUCAUUAUUAUCAACCCAAAACAUAGUGUUUACAAAUCUUAUAUCUAUACUUAUUUAUUUUUGGCACAUAUUCUUGAUUAUCCUAUAAAAACAUUGCAUAUGGAUAAUGCAAAAGAAUUUGCAUCAAAAUCUUUUGAAGACUAUUGUAUUGCAACAUGAAUUGAGUUGACAUAUUGUGUUCCAUAUGAAUAUGCUCAAAAUGGACUUGUAGAGUCAUUUAUAAAGCAUAUACAACUCAUUAUUCGGCCACUCAUCUUUCACACAAAUUUACUUGUAUCUAUGUGGGAUAAUGUAGUGUUACAUGCUGCAACAUUAAUAUGCAUCCGCCCUUCUUUUCUUAAAAUUAUUUCACCACAUGAGCUCAUUUUGGAUCAUGUUUCAAAUGUAUCUCACUUGCUAGUAUUUGGUUGAUGUGCUUGGGUUCCAAUACCAGAACGUCAAUGGCGUACUAUUGAAACUCAUCCACAAGAAGGCAUAUAUGUUGGUUUUGAUUCAUCAAGCAUUAUUUGUAUUGUUGAUCCAUCAACUAGCACAUUAUUACGUGCACGUUUGUAAAAUUGCCAUUUUGAAGAGAAUAUAUUUCUAUCUCUUCAAGGAGGAGUAUCCAAUCAACAAAGAAAUAAAGUAUUUCUAUUUGAAGCAUUGAAAAUGUUUACAAUGAAUCUUGAUCGUAGGACAUCUUUGAUUGAAAUUGAAGUUGCUAAGAUUUUGCAUCUAAAAUGGAUUACAGAUGAAACACCUGAUGACUUCAAUGAUGUACGUAGAAUUAUAAGAGUUCAUUUUAAUGAGGCCCAGAAUGCACUUGCUCAGAUUGCAAUGCCACUGACUAUAAUACCUCAAGUUAUAACAACAAUAAUUAAAAAAACUUGUAGAUCAGAUAAGCAACCACAUAAGAAGAAAGCUAUAAUAUUAACUAAUCCUGAUAUUAUUUUUCAAGAAAUUUCCACUCAUACUGUGGGACCACCAAUUCAUGAUGAUAUAUCCAUGCAUAAUGUACCUUCAAUUCCUGUGAAAAACAAUCUUGGAAUUGGAAGGAAUAAGAUCAAGUUGAGUAAAGAAUUAUCUAUUCCAUAUUGUACUACAGACGAUAUUUGGAAGAAACCAUCUAUUAUGAUAGAUAAAAUAUUUGCAUGUAUGAUUAUAGAAGCCUUUUCUUGCAAGGAAGACAAUCGUGAAUCUCGAACCAUUGAGGAUGCGAUGCAUUGCUUUGAUUUGUCAAAAUAGAAAAGUGCUAUUGAAAAAGAGUAUGCCUCUUUCCAUAAGAAGAAAGUCUUUGGUGCAAUCAUAGACAUUCUUACAUCUUGCCUUAUGGGAUAUAAGAUGGUAUUAAUACACAAGUAAGAUGCUCAAGGUCAAAUAACCCACAAUAACGCUCAUCUUGUUGCCAAGGAUUUAUUUAAUGAUUUGGCAUUGAUUAUGAAUCCACAUAUUCUCUAGUCAUGGAUUCAAUCACAUUUUGAUAUAUUAUUGGAAUGACACUUCAUGCCACCCUUGAAAUACAUCUAAUGGAUGUAAUAAUUGCAUAUCUAUUUGAUUCUCUUGAUACAAAUAUUUAUAUAAAAGUUCCACUUGGCUUGAAAACAAGAAUUCCAAAUAGACAUCAUCUAGGACGAUAUUGUGGUAUUAAAUUAUGUAAGGCCUUAUAUGGUUUAAAACAAUCCAGACGCAUGUGGCAUCAAUGUCUUCGAGAUUAUUUAAUUACACAUAAGUUUGUAAGUGAUCGUUUGAUCCCUUGUUUAUUUAUCAAACAAGAUAAAAUUGGUUUUGUGAUCAUCCUUCUAUAUGUUGAUGAUCUUAAUCUAGUGGGUACUAAAUCUACAUACAUUGCAGCUACUAACCUACUUAUCUGUGAAUUUGAGAUGAAAAUGCUAGGAAAAACAACUUUAUGCAUUGGACUUCAAAUUAUGCAUCUCACAAAUGGUAGCAUUUUUCUCUACCAACUUAUAUAUAUUAGACAAAUCUUGCGGAGAUCCAAUAUGAUUGAUGAUUAUCCAUUUUCAACACCAAUGGUUGGACAUGGUCGUGAUGGUAAUGAUCCAUACCAUCCAUGCAAGGAAGAGGAGGAAAUAUUGAGAGAUCAAUAUCCAUACCUCACAACAGUUGGAGCACUUUUAUAUUUGGCUACAUCUACAAGACCAAAUAUUGCAUAUGUAGUUAGUGUUCUUACAAGACAUAGUGCAUGUCCAACACUACAACAUUGGAAUGACAUCAAAUAUUUAUUACGUUAUUUAAAAGGUACUGAAGACUUGGGAUUAUACUACACACAAUUUACAAAUCCAAAAUUGGUUGAAUAUUGUGAUGCGGUAUCGUAUUACGUGCUUUCCUGCUCGAGAACGUGCCGGGCAUCUGGCUGUAGAAGGUAGUAUGGAGAUUCGCCGAUAGUCAAGCAGUCUAUCAGUUUUUGACUGCUGGAAUAUAAACGACUGCAACAAUGUACCGUAAAUCUAUACGGAUGCUCUUCGACUGCUUGUCGAAGUCUUUUUUUUUUUUUUUUUUUUUUUUUUUUUUCCCAGCCAAUAGGUCUCUAGACGUUACAGAGAACCCCGAACAACCCAAACUGUUAAUCAUCAAUACCCCUUUGUACUUACGAUCUUGUAUCCACUGACUGUACUAUUAGAUUAACUCAAUAAAUUUCAUUCACUCCGCAUACUCAAUCCUAUAGACACCCCUUUAAUCCUUCAAUCACAGACGUAACUCGAUUUUACAAAACAGUCAAGAGUAUUCAAACCCACUUCAUUUAAAAAUCCCGAUUCACCAUUACAACACUGACUUCAGCAGCGAUUGCCUCAGUCUUCCCAAAACUCUACGAAGAAGAAAAAUCCAAAUUCUAUGUCUUUCCUUCCCCGACCCGAAGCAUGAAGCUCAUCUCUCUAAUUCCCUUGAUCUUCAAAAACCUCCAAUGAAAACCGAACUGGUAACCUUGCAAAGCUUGAAAACUCGCUCCCCCCCCCCGAUUCUCCAAAAAAAAAAAAAAAAAAAAAAAAAAACCUCCCUCCCUAAAACUAUAUUCUCCCCUAACCUUAUCCUCUGAAUUUCUUCAAUCUUCCAUCUUAGAUCCGGAAUUGGCUCCCGCCGUCACAGCUUAGAUCCGAAAUUGGCUCACGUCAUCAAGGCCUUCUCCUCCGUUUUUACCUUUAAGAGAUCCAUUUACCGUAAACAACGUUCCCUGAAACGGCACAGAGAACAGGACAGCCCGAAACAGAAUCGAAACCCCGUAAUCGGGACCACAUUGAGUCGCCCGACCAAUUCAGGUCCCAUAUUGGAUAAGAUGCCCAUAGUAACCUGGAUGCUCGCGUAAUUGGGUCAAAUUGGUCUUCGCGUCAGACUGGCUGAGGCCCGUAGUAAGACCUGGAUUUUCCCAUAACUAGACUGCAUUGGGUUGCCCCACCAAUACAGGUCUCAUAUUGGGUAAGAGGACCCGGAUUGGAUUCUCGAAAUUGGAUCGAAUUGGCUCUUCAAACCCGUCGUGUGAAUUGGUCCUUCUCAUCCUGCUAACUCCCGUUAUUAGAAUCGAAUGGAGCAUUUCAGUAUGCCCCGGCUGACUGUAACGGGGUGACUGAACCUGACCACUCAGUAUUUGCGCUGGAGUUGGUCGAUGCUCCCAAUAUUCGAGGUAACUGAAUAUUAAUAAAAUUUCCCUUCUUCUUUUUUUUCUUUUAUUUUCACUGUAUACUCGUGUUACAACACGACAACGGGAUAUAAAUCUCAUAUUCAAAUAGCUAAAUCUCAAACAAGAUAUGUAUUUUUAAAACAUGGAGCUACAAUAUCAUGGAAAUCAGUGAAACAAACUAUAACUCCAACUUCAUCCAACCAUGCAAAAGUUAUUGCCUUACAUGAAGCAUCUCAAGAAUAUAUUUGGUUGCGAUCAAUUGAUAAAUUCAUUCAAACAACUUGUGGAUUUUCAUACAAUGAUUCUCCAACUAUCUUGCAUGAAAACAAUAGUGCUUAUAUUGCACAGAUGCAAGUUGGUUUCAUUAAAGUCAACAGGACAAAGCAUAUUGAUUUAAAGUAUUUUACUUAUACCCAUGACUUGAUUACUGAUCAAGCACUUAUAAUUAAGAAAAUUGAAUAUGCAAAUAACCUUGCUGAUUUCUUCACCAAAGCUCUCCUAUUGUGCAACCAUCGCUGACUUACUUAUGGCAUUCAUAUGCGACGACUUACUUUUCUUGAAUAAGAAAGUUAAUGAAUUCUUUAAAUAAUUAGGAAAAAUGAUGUUGUACUCUUUUUCCUUCAUCUAUGGUUUUGCCCUUAAAUAAUAUAAGGUUUUUCUAGAUAAGGUUUUAAUGAGGCAAGAAUUGUUGAGUUUGCAAGAUUACAGAAAAGUAUAGAUCAUAAUUCUAUACAAAUUUUAUAUUAUGUAAAUAUUAUGAUGAGCGAAGAAGAGUGUUGAAAGCAUUAAAUGUAGUUGGCGCUCUCUAUGAUAUUUACUGUAGUCUUCAAUAAAUACUAUAGUUACAAUAUUUGGAAUGUAGUAGAGAUGAAUUAUUUAUCCUCUUCCCUUCUCCUUUUGUAUACGAGUUACAACCAAAUCAAUAGACUUUUGUAUGAAGCUCUCUCUCUCCUUAGAAACUCUCUUGUGUAUGUAUGUGUAUUACUUACUACUACUCGUGUAAUAUUAUAGAGAGUGCUCUCUAUAAUAUUACUUACAUCAUACAUUUGAUUAUAUUGGAAUUAACAAUUGCCAAAUAUCAUUUAUUCGCAAAAAUGAAAUCAGCUCAUUCAACUAAAUCGUCCCUUUGGUCAACACUCAAAGUAGAAGUUUCUAUGAAGGAUAAGAACCUCACCAAUCUAGACAAUCCCAUACAAAAUGAGUACUUAAGUCCUCUUGAAUUGUAAUUUGAUGAGUCACAUUUGUACUGUUUGUAGAUCUUUUGGUGUCAUUCUAGUUUUGAGAAGGGCGACCAUCAUUUAAAUACUUUAGAGAAAUAAAAAAAAAUAACACGGUAAGUUGAAAAAACAGAAUCCAGAUUCAAUUCCUGUUUUCGCCUAGUUUUUCAAACCAACACCAGUGAUGGGGACCAAAAGAAUUGUCAACCUUAAAUAAUGCCUACCAAUCUUCACCGAUUGAAAAGACCACUCAACCCCAAACAGGAGUUUUGAAAAAAAGUGAAAGAUCUAAGGGAGUUGUACGAAACCUCCAUUGCAUAGACCGGGGAUGACACUGCCACUUCACUUACGCAUAUGGGCCAGUAUGUGACAAAACCCACUUGUAUUGACAGCAGUGGCUCUGACAUCAGUGACUGUCUGUGACAUCAAUGACUCUAAUGUACAGUGGCUGCCUGAUUGUCAACUACCCAUUACUUACAUUGGGUCAUCAGCUUAUUAAAAAUCGGUCUGGUCAGCUACCCUGGUAGGAACGCUACGUGGUGCCUGAGUGCUAACCCGCAAUCCGAAAAAUGAAAUAUCACUGGUGAAAUUUUUUUCCUCGACUUCCGAGGAGUCACCACUUCAAGCAGAAGGCGCCUUCAUGUUUGAGGAGCAUUCUGACUACUGGAUGCAUGGACGUGCUCCCCUGGAGCACAUAUUUGCUUCACAUCCACUUCAUCCAUGGGAACAGGGGCCACUACCUGGAGAGGUUGCGCUGAUAGUGCACCUUUCGCAUCGUUCCAUGAAUGCGCAGUGCACCCUGGAAGGCAUGGUGGUAUAGGUGGUUGGCCAUCCAGUCUCUGCAUUGUAAACUUGUAGACUUUGAAGCCAUUCAUACCAGUACUAUACUCAUACUGAGUGAUCACAUAUAAGCCAUCGUAUGUAUAACCCAGGAGGGAAGUGCUUUUGUUGGUUAAGUCAGAAUGCCCUCGAAUAACUCGGACAGGCAACUUUCGGUCAUGAUUUGUAGCUAAUGCCAGGUUGCCUUUGGUCAACUUUUGAUCACAAACAAAAGGAGCACCUUGAUUGCGUUUCAGACGACCUCCUUGUCCUACAUGUUGAACUCCAAUUAAUGUCAGAAAUUUCUGCAAAUAUUGAAGGUUCAAAGGAAAACCUCUUUAGCUAACACAUGGCCAUGAUAAAUACUCAAAAAUCCAACAAAAAUAAAAACCGAAAUGUGACGAUCUUCAGUAGCAAAAGCAUGGAACUUCUCUCAUGACGUAUCUUGAUAUAUGGGAGUUGGAUGUUUACCUGUAUAGAGAAUUGUGUCGCCAUUGUCUACAUCAUCAACAUAACCUGCCUUGGGCAUUAGUACUAUGGCCGUGGCAGUAAUGGUAUUAUCAGGAAAAGUAUAACCGUAGUCGAUUCCCACAUUUGGCAAGCGAUGCAACCCUACGACAGCCAUCUGAUGUCGAUAUGUAAAUUUGUCGCCUACUUCGACACCUGGAAGGUCGCCCACAAGCACGCCUGGGUUCACAUCUUCCUUAUUCUUCUUUAAUUCAUUGUAAGCCACGAUAUCUGGUCGACAUUCCAGUCCCCUUGAGUAUCCCUCUUUUACAGAUUCAUUUGUAGUCGAUUCCCUCCGAGAUAACUGCUCUGCUCGAUCCUGUUUAGCUUUGAUGAUAUAAUUAUGGUACUGCUGUAAUGCACGCGCAACCUCAAAUCUGGGGGUGCUGACAGUAGUAUCUGUAUGAUAAUGAACUAGUGGUUAUUAGAGAAGAUGUCUUCAGAAAUCAAAUAGGUACCACUUUGAAUAGUGGGCCAAUCAAGAAAAAUAAUAAUGAUAAAAUUGUGAACAUCAACUUCAAGCCUCAGGAAAGCUUCAAGGAAAUGGCCGCACCGUAGUUUUGUUUCACCAAAGCAAGUUGAUUGUGGACUGGGUAAUUCUGGGGUCCAAGGCUGCCGCUAUGAUACAAAUUGGGUUCAACUUUGUUAGCACCUGUGUGACAUACAAAUUAACCAACUAAGUCUCACAUGUAAAAGAUGGUACUACGAAGAGAUAAAAAUGAAGAACAAUAUUUAGAGCUACAUUUCAUUGAUGUACUAUGUCGGAAUAUACAGCAACGUUCUCAUAUGGUAGUGCAAACCUAUUGAUAAAUCUGCACUAUUCGGGGGGCAUGCUUGACUUUGCCGUGAGUUAUGUUUUUCAUUUAUGCCAUUGAUAUUCUGUAAAAUAUUUGUGCAACCAUCCCCUGAAAGAACGGAAAGCAAGUGCAGUUAGUAAAUGUUCAAGGCAAACUAAGUGUCCAAUAGCGAUUCUCUUCUAAUGCUUUCAAGUUGCGACUGAGCGAUUUGGCUAAUGUUAGCAGCAUGAAGAUCGUGACUCUGAUGAACUCGGAAUUACAAGAGAAGUUGGUAACAAAUGUUUACAAACACUUACUAUCUCGAGAGUGUAUAUUCACAAGACCUCAUUGAUUUACCUGAAGUCAUCUGUGCCGUGUGCAUGCUAAAUGGCCCUAAACUUAUCCUAUUCGCAGAACCUGUAACAAAAUCAGCAACGUGUUACAGUUUUUAAGAUUCCAGAUGUUUAUUCUCUUGGAGACGCACAGAUUCGACAGAUAAAAGACGCACUACACUCAAUACCUGUGUAAUGAACCCUAGACUCUGUGAAAUGUAUAACUUGCAAAUUGAAACAGAACAUGAAAUGACUUACCCAAGUAAAGCUUGCAAACCUUAAAAAACCCAACUAAACUCUUUACGAAUCACAGGUAAUAAAACACCUUCUCGAAAAACAAACUUUGAAAAAGUAAUCGCACAACAUACAAGAUCCACAUCUUGUAAUGACAACAGAAGGGACAGAGAGAAGCAAUGAAUAACGAAGUGUUGACUGCAAAUCAGAGAAGACACUAUAAAUCCGAAGCAGAAAAAAGCUUACCGCUACAAUAAGGCACAACUGCAGUACUGGUUGGAGGGCCCCCACCGUGGCUCGACCUGACUUGCUCUCCAGAAGACGCGCCAUCCCGUACAUGACCUAACAACAUGGAACAAAUGAUCUCAACAUCAGGUUGACUUGAGGACAGAAGAGCACCAACGAUAUUUGACACGUACAGAUUCACUUUGUUGGCAGAAAUUUACCACAUAAUGGAGCAGAAACCACACUCUAAAUGACUCAAGAGCACACAAGUUACAUUACAAAAAGACGAUUGGGAUAUGGAGAGGAAAAAAUUUUAAAACGUAAAAUGUCCUAUGCUAGACAAGAGAUACCAACCAUAUUCUCUGGAUGGACUAAAUCUGAGACAAGUAAUCGCUUUGCCAAUACUCUUCCCAAGUUCAAACACGAAAAAAGCCAUCAAGAUGUGAAAAAGUAGAUCUUGAAAUCAAAUCAAACAUGAAAUUUUCUAAGACUUAAAUCAUAAAAUUUAUGCUAGAAAUGAUCAACUCACAAGCUUGUUCAAACGUACUUGAAACACGUGGAACAGCUUGAUCAGCUUGAACUUGGCUGUCCCUUACCAUGCCUGAUGGCUGAAUAUUCCCUGCAAGAAGACAACGACAAACGUAGUAAAUUAGAGAAACGAAAACAGGGUUAAACUUAAAACAGAAGCUAACCAACGUUAUGUUAAAUGGAUAAAAUGAAUUCAUCUGCCAACAUUGUGGUGCUAGAUUGUCCUUAAUGUGGUCCUUUGAAAGAUUCCAUGGAUUAUCUUAAGUGGAUCCAUUCUAAAUUAGUUCUAAUUCCGAAUCCGCAUUUCCAAUAAUGAAAAAAUCUGACUAAAAAAUAUACCGUUGUUAAGGCCAAUGCUCACAAGCUGUUCCAAAAAAUUCUGAAGACAUGUCGCAGGCAUGAUGUUAAUGAGGAUAUUUAGUAGAAUCUUUAGCUGGGCAAGCCAAAAUACACGUCAUUACCAGCAGUUGCUAAGUCCGGUGUAUUAUUGGUUGGUGGAAACUGUAGAGCUAUGCCCAACGUUGGCUUCCCACCCUGUACUGUAUUUUGAAGCAUGGUCCCCGCUUGUUUAGCAUGAAGAAUCGCUUGUGUACCAAGAGUUUGAAAGCCAUCGCAGUGCAAACUAUCCGAUAUUGGUCGCCGUGCAGGAGGAACACUCUGAUCCGAUGGAACGCCCAGGUUGUGUUCAUAGCCAGGGGAUGGAGUUCCAGUAGGCGGAGGUACAACCGAUGACUUAAUGUCUCGAACAGAAACAUCGUCUAAGGUUUGAGGCGCACUGGGUAAAGUAUGCUGAAAGCCUCCAGAUGUAGUUAUUGAAGAUAAAACAGGGCGUUCGCCUACAUUAUCCCCUGCAUCGCGAUCCGGCACCUGUCUUGUGCUUCUAACUUCUAAUUUCACGGUGCUUCCCAACUGAGAGCUCCUCUCCAAUGGACUUGAGUUACCAGUCUCAAACUUCACGGGGCUUCCCAACUGAGGGCUCCUCUCCAAUGGACUUGAGUUUCCAGGCUCAAACUUCACGGUGCUUCCCAACUGAGAACUCCUCUCCAAUUGACUUGAGUUUCCAGGCUCAAACUUCACGGCGCUUCCCAACUGAGAGCCCCUCUCCAACUGACAUGAGCUUCCGGGCUCAGACUUCACAGCACUUCUCCACUGGAUGCUCUUAUCUGGUUCGUCAAUUAUGUGCAAGUCAUCAUCAUCGUCACUGUCGGAGUCCAGCAUCACGACAUCUGGAGGAGGCUCUACCUUUCUACUUGCUUUAUGAGCUCCUUGCACAUCAGCUUCAACAUCGGCCGAAGUAUUUUUCACUUCAUUUUCAUUUUUAAUAGUAUUCAAUAUUAAUGCAUCACCAAAAGAUUCCCUCCACAAUUCAGAACCAGCUUCAUUCUCACCUUCAUCGAAAUCCUCGGAAUCGUCGGCUGAUAAAUCGUUCAAAAGAUCAGAAAGAUCUGUACGAGUCUGAGUACCGAUAGAUUCAGAAAUGUUCGCUAAAGCUGAAGCUUGUUUGCUACCCUCAUUUAAACCAUCUGCCACCAUAUUUUGGCAUGAACCAUUGUCCAUUUCCCGAUCCUUUAAAAGUGAACUUUGAUUUGUGCGUUCAAUGUGUGCAUCUAUGACAGACGUUAACUGUUGAUUAGGGUUCACUUCCAUAGGUUCUACAGAUGAGUUGGCCUUCUUAUCAACGACAACAUGCCCACCAUCUCCAGUUCCCACGUCCAUAUUCUGAUCAUCAUUGUACUGAUCGCCGUUCCCACCAAGAAUAGAAUGCUGUUUGAGACGGUCUGCAAUAUCUCUAAGAGGUCCAGCAAGAUUCCUAACGUCAUCACUUAAUGACUUCUGGGAGGAUCUUGCACCACUCUCUAGUUUAACGCGCUUGACAACUAGAGCCUCCUCUAAACCCUGGUGGGUUCUCUUCAGAGAGGUCAAUCCAGCACUAGAAUUCCUAGCGUGAAGAGAACCUGCCACCCGAUUGUUACUUAGACCCUCCGAUACAGAACUGGAUACGAUACGUGGGUCCACAGGAAGGUCAACGGACAGCUCCACCUUAGCCUCUUUCAUAGUGUUUGUUGAAGUGAUUGAGUCGUAAUGUAUCUCAUGUAAGGAACCGUGUGCAUGCUGCACACAUUCUGACAAAAGUGUGUCACAAACAUCCCCGCCCUUGCCUUCAGCAAUAGGAGCACCCUACGCAGUUACGUGAACAUAUCCGUCAAUACAUGGCUGAAUAUUUUUCGAGUUCCGAGUUCCGAGUUUCGAACGCCGGAAAACAAAAUUAGCCUCCAAAAGCGAGCCACAGUGCGAUCCGAAUGUAUCCCGAGCACGCAGACAGGACAAGGUACUUUUCAAUUUCCGAACCAUACAGCUCUGAUGCAUAAAAUCACUCAGCUAAGGGAUGCUCCGCGCAAAAAUUGUGAAGAAAUAAGUUUCAGCAUCUUUUAUAUCUGUAGACAAGCAAGCAGUUCGUUAGACUGAGUAUGCCGAAAUAAUUCACUGUCCAUGCAUUCCUACUCUUCCAAAUUCUAUCCGCAACAGAACGUUGAUGAAGGAAACUGUUAAACAGCGAGUAACAACAAUCGCCCAAACUAACUCUUUGUAAAGUGGUUACACAGUAGAUUUUUAAAAACUUGAAGAGUGUGGUCAGAUAAUCGUCUAUCAGGAAGCACAGAAAGUUAGGCUAGUUUGAUUUGAGCAUUACUGACCUCGUGCAGAAUCCUAAGACUCCUAACCAAACAACAAAUCAUUAUAUGAUUGCUUUUCAAACUCGCAGAAUGCCACAAAUUCGAUGCGCACUUGCGUAUUCACAAUGGAAGUAAUCAAAACGAACUAGCUUCAACCAACUAAGUAGCGUCAAUGACCGACCUAGCUUCUGCAUUAGAGGAGUCAGUGGCACACAAUAACUGAUUUCCUUUGCUUUGGCAUCAACCAAAAGAAAAAAAAGAAAAAAAGAAAAACCCGAAGCUCAAAAUAGGAGCACGUUACUCAAACAUAACAAACGACCUGGAGAAGGCAAGAUGACCUCCAAACCGCGCGAAAUGCAUCCAGUAAAUGCAAGAGAAGUGAGACAUUACGCUCCAAAUCCUCAGCUCUCUGCAAACCCUAGAGCCUCGCAAACCAAGUAGCGACCUCUCCUACCAAAUUAAACACGGCAUCGAGGGGAUAGUUCAAAAACCCCAGCACCUACAAAACAAAAACAAAAAAAUACAAAUACAAAGACAAAUCCACCAAUAGAACCAAAGGUUGAGGCGAUGAGGAAAACAACUGCACCACGUACAGAGACUUCCAGUACGAGUUCGAAACCCUAGAAUAACAAACCACCCGCACGACCUCCUUCGACAUCAAAAAAAAUGAUCCACAAACUACGCACCUCCAUCUCUCCAAAAGUCACGCCUCAUGGGAAAAAGGCGAAGGUCGAGUCCAUCACAUGCUUCGGUUUCUACCCGCCGUAAUGCAACCACUCACGCCAACCACGUCUAACGGAAUCGCCGGCACAGCACAUUACCACGACACUCUGCACCAAGAAGGCAAGCAUUGCGAGAAAAUUCGCUUGAAAGACACAGAAGAAGAAGAGAAGACAAGGAGGGAAAACUCAGAGGUUGCAAUCAAUCUGUGCGAGGGAGAAAGAGAAGGGAGGGCAAGAAUUCCGCAGCAGAGCAUUCAUUAAUGGAAGGCAGCGGCGAAGAAGAAGGCAGAUAGGCAAUCUCUUCCUUGGCUCAGAAACCAGGGCUUGUAAGCAAACCCAGCAAGCAAGCACGAAAGCCAAGCCAAACUCUGCUUCUCUCUCUAGUUAGUCUUCGUUGUUGGAAUCAGGGUCCGUUCUCUGCUAAGCCCCUUUUUCCCCCUAAAUUACUGCCACUUCACCCACCCUUUCCUUUCCUUCCUUUUUGUUUUCCCUCCCCACCCACAUUUAUACAACCACCACCCUAAACUCUAAUGUUCUUUUAUUGGUUGGUUGUUUGAAAUAGUACCUUUGUCUUUUUUGAGGCGGAUGUUUACUUUGAUUUUACACAAGAUGACAAAGUCAUGGUAAUGUCAAGGACAAGAACUUGAUAAAAACAAAUAAAUAAGUGAGACUUUUCUCAAAGAAAGAUGACAAAAUAGAAAUAACUAAAUAUAUAUAUAUAUUAAGAAAGAAAUUGGAAUGGCUAUUGCCAAAAGACAAUAAAACUAGAAACCCUUGAAACUAGACUAGAAGCAAGAAAGGAGUUGACAAGAGUGAAGAGGGCUUCAUUCUUGUCUCUAUAUAUACUAUCUAACUAGGGGCUACGUGGCGAUGUUCUAUAGGACCUCCAAUAUGUGUUGACUUUGUAGGACACAUGCCUUGUCUUACAAGGCAAGUUUUUUUUAUGUGUGGACCACAUAGUUAGCUUGGUCUUCAAGCUAAUAACAUGUGUGGCAUAUGGCCAACUUGUUGACCACGUUUUUAAUCCAAAAAGUCAAUUAAAAGCACUUAUAAAGUCAAAGCAGCGUCUAUAAAGCUUCUAGGAAGCUUCUAUGGAAGAUAUUAUAGAAUUAACUUAUUUUUACUCACUUUUAUUUACUUCUACCUAUUUAUACCUGUAAUUACUAGCUUACAUGCAUAUGUCUCUGGCAUUACCCCCCUUUCUAGGAACGAGUUCCACGAGGAGCGAUCAUCAUAUGUUGAAGAAAUCUAUGAUGCGACGAAUUGUAUUCGCCACAUACUUUGAUCUUUGUUCUCUUCGAAGAUGAUUGAUAGGGCCUCUCAACCAUCGGUAGUGUCCCAUACUAGGGCAGGAAGACCACCCAGUUAUUUGAUCAUUGUUGAGGCCUUCAUAAUUUCCUUCAAAUAAAACAUUUGGAACACCGUCAAGAGUUGUUCCUACCUAUAAUAAAAUCACCAAACAUUGAGAGUCCCUUCCAAGGUCAUAAUACCAAACGCAUUGUACCUUGCCAUCUAUUCGAGAAAGAAUAUGUCGUUCUUGAGGAUCUUCAUUUCAAUUACGUCAUCUUGAAGGUUGUGACAAUCGUAAUGUCUCAUUUGACAAGUCAGCAAAUAAAGGCUUUUGAGUCAAAUCCACUAGUUGUUGGCUCUCCAUCUCUUCAGCAUCAUAACUACAAAGAAGCUACAAACAAGGAUUAAAAGUAGAAUGUUAUCUUGCCUAGAUCUUGUUUCUUUUAUAAGAAAGGUUUUCAUCUUGAUUUUGAUAGAUGUCGUCAAUAAAAAGCCUCCAUCGACUUUCUAGCAUUUGCAAGAUUCAUUACUGGCUCCCAUGUGCAUUUAUUAAUAUCAUAUCCAUGCCAAUGGACAAGUUAUUUCAAUUUAUUUUGGCGCCACCUUGAAUCUAAGACUUCUUCUACUUCGAACUCUUCAUUAUUGUCCACUUCUAUAAGAUGAGGUAGAGCUUGUCUUUUUCUUGGUAUGUCCAUUGUCUUAUAUGGUUCAAGAAGAGACAUUCAGAAUAUUAGAUGGAUUUUCAUUGAUUCCAAUAAGUAUAAACGCUAUGCAACUCGAUUGAUUUGUGUAGAAAUAGAAAAUGGUCCAAACCUUCAAUAGCCCAACUUGUCACAAGGAUGAGUGGUCUUAAUAUUGCAAUGAAGUAUCCAUACCUUGUCACCUAUGUGGAAUGGUGGUUAUUCCUUUCAAUAGACAUCCGCAUUGAUCUUUUGUUGUUCUUGAGCUUCUUUUAACUAUGCCUUCAUUGUUGCAUAUAGCUCUAACAAAUGAAUUGCCAAAUCUUUUGGCGUAGGAUUAUGAACUUUUAAAAAGUCAAAAGUAUCAACUCAUGGAUCAUAACCAUAAUUGGUAAAGAAAGAUAUUUAUUUUGUAGAAAAAUGUAUCGUGUUAUUGUAAUCAAAUUUUGCCAAUGGCAAAAAAGUUGUCCAAUCAUCGUGUUGGUAGUUGAUGGUACAUCUUCAAAACUACUCCAAAACUUGAUUAACACACUCCGUUUGUCCAUCAGUUUGAGGAUGGAAUGUCGAAGAUAGUUUUAUAUCCAUUUUUAGAAUCUUGAGAAGAGUCCGCCAAAAUCUUGAUACAAAGUAGGUUUCUUAAUUUGAUAUAAUAUCCUUGGAUAAUCCAUGAUAGCGAUAGAUAUUGUCAAGAAAGAGCUUAGUUAUUUCUUCACUUGUGAUGAAUUUUGUACAUGGUACAAAAUGUGCCAUCUUGGUAAAACAAUCUACUAUUAUGAAUAUAGAGUCAUAAAAACCUGAGAUUGGAAGAUUCGUGAUGAAAUCCAUAGAAAUAGAAGACCAUGGUUGUUUUGGAAUGCAUAAUGGCUAAAAUAGUCUAUAAUGUCGAUGACGAGGAGUUUUUGAUCUUGAGCAAAUAUCACAAGAUUGUACAAAAUCUUUGAGUGCUUUCCACAUUUGGGACCACCAAAAAUCCGUAGAUAUUAGUUUUAAAGUUUUAUUGUACCCAAAAAGUCUUGUUGUUGAAAAGUCAUGACAAACUUGAAGAACACGUAAUUAAGCUUCACUUUCUAGAAUAUAUAGGCGUUUCUUGAAAUACAAUAGAUUAAGGUUGAAUUCAAACUUGGAAGUAUGAUGAGACUUUGAAGGAUUUUCCUUAAUAUCACGAAUAAGAAGAUCAGAAGACAUACUUGAUUGAACUUGCUUAAUGAAAAUUGAAUCAACAGUUAAUAUUGAUUUCAUUGCUCGAAGAUGAAGAUGCUUUGGCUUCAAGAGAAUUAUCCGUUGUUGAUCGAAAGCAACAUCUCUUUCCUUUGAUGCAAGGUAAGAUCGUCUAGAGAAUGCACCUGACAAACCUUAUUGUUUUUCUAGCCGAUAAAUGAUCUUGAAUUUGAAUCUUGACAAAGACAUACUCCAACGGGCUUGGCGACGAUUCAAAACAUGUGUUGACAUAAAAUAUUCAAAGUUCUUGUGAUCCAUAUAUAUGGUAACUAGAAUUAGAACACCUUUUAGAUAAUGGUGCUAUUCUUGAAACGAAUCCAUGAUUGCAAGAAGUUCUUUGUGGUAGAUCUUGUAGCUGAUCUCGGUUGCUGAAAUUUUUUUGGAAUAAAAAGCUAUAGGAUGAAGUUUAUCAUUUGUUUCCAUUUGUGAUAAUACGGCAUUCAAAGCAAAGUCUGAUGUGUCUGUUUCCAUAAAAAAUGGUUUAGAAAAAUUGACGCGAUAUAAGUUUGGUGCAAAAACAAAGAUUGUAUUCAAAGCUUGAAAUGCUACUUUUGCUUCUUGAUUCUAUUGAAGUUUUUCUUUACAAGUCAAACGUGUAAGUUGAGUCGCAACUUGAGAGAAGUCUUUCAUGAAGAUCUGAUAGUAGUAGGCAAAUCCCAAAAAGCAUUGGACAUCUCUUACCAUCUUUCAGAUCUUUCAAUCCAUAAUAGUUUGAACUUUCUUAGGAUCCAUCAUAAGUCUAUCAUUUGAAAUGAUGUAUCCUAAGAAGUCGACUUGAGUAGUGUGAAAUACAUACUUUUCUAUCUUGGCAUAGAGUCCUGCAUCUCUUAAUUUUUGUAAGACAUGACGAACAUGAAGUUCAUGUUCUUCUUUGUUCUUAAAAUAGAUUAAGAUAUUGUGUAAGAAAUAGAUGACAAAAUCAUCUAAAAACUCCCAAAAGACAUCAUUCAUUAGAUGUUGGAAGGCUGCUGGUGCAUUUGUAAGUCCAAAAGGCAUGACGUUGUAUUCAAAAUGUCCAUACCUUGUUCGAAACACAGUCUUCUAUUCAUCUCCUUCUUUGAUGCAUACCAAAUUGUAUGCUCCUUGGAGAUCUAUUUUUUUAUAGAUCUUGGCUUGAUUCAACUCAUCAAAGAGUUCAUAUAUCAAAAGUAGUGGGUACCUAUUCUUGAUGGUGAUUUUGUUGAGUCCUUGAUAAUUGACACACAUCCACAAUGAUCCAUCUUUUUUCUUCACAAAUAAAAUAGGAACUCCUACUAGAGAUUUGAAAUGGCGUAUGAAGUUCUUGGCAAGAUUUUCUUUAAUAUACUCCUUGAGUUCAGUCAACUCAUUUUGUGAUAAACUAUAGAUUGGUCCAAAUGGGGAUUGUGCUCCUUCUUGAAGGUUAAUUGAGCAGUCAUAGGAACAAUGUUCCGGAAGAGUAUCCGCAUUCUUCUUCUCAAAUACAUCUUGAAAAUCUUGAUAUUGGCUUGGAAUGCCACUUGGAGUCUUUCCACCAAUAAAAAUAGGUGCGAUAUAAAUGAUACAAGGUGAUCCUUGUUUUGCGGUGUCGUGUUGUAACACAACUAUAUAUUGAAAGAUGAUAAUAUAGAUCUUAUUAUAGAAGAGCCAAGUUAAAAGAAAAGGUAGAAAAAUAUGGAUAAAAGAUAGGAAGAUAGUAAAACUUUUAGUAGUAAUGUUGCCCUUUUAAAAAAAAAUAGCUUCUACUUACUUUAUAGGACCAAAAAUAAGGAAAAAUGAUAUAGACAUCUUUAAGAAGAAGUUAAGAGUAAAUUCUAAUAAAAAUUAUUUAAAAAAAACUAGAUGUUGAUACCCAGAGAGGGCCAGUUAUGAACCAAGAUCGAAAUCAGACCUUGAGGCACAAAACCGAGUCUCAACAAUGACUCCGGAACUUUUUAGUAGAUCGAAGAAUGGAGUUUGAUAGAAGAUUGGAUAGGGUUUCUAUGGGCAUUAAUUUUAGAUGAUUUAAAGUUGUUAUAACUUUGUAAGAGCUUUGCAAAGUCAAAGUUUGUUUCAGAUGACUUAGGUUUUAUGAAAUAAAAUAGGAUUUACCUUUUGGGUGAUUUCAAGAGUUUUGUAAUAGAUCUAUAAGUGAAAUUUUGUAGAUUUAUGGUUAUAGUUGUGCUUAAUAUGUGUUGUGAAUUUGAACUCGAUGUAAUAGUUGAAUUGAGGAAUAUUGAGGUUUAAGUGAGUCAAGGUCUCAAAAAGUAGAAUUUUAGGUCCAGUGGGGGUUUUUAAGAUUUCUUGCAAUCUACUAAUUGAAUUGGAGUGAAACUUACAUGAAAGGAUAUUAGACUUAUUUUUCUAUGUGUAUGAGAAUUUUGAAAUCAAUCGAAUGGUGCAAAAGAGAGAUAUUGGCUCUGGAAGAUUGGCAUCAAGAUUAGAGAAGGAGGCCAGCCAAUACCCAAGCACAUUUUUGAGGGUAUCGUCAAUUUGAUAACUCCGAUCCUUUUAAAAAAAAAUUAGCUUGUUUUCAACUUAUUAUUUUAGAAGUAUGCAAAAUUUGAGUUAAGAUUGAUAGUUUAUUCAUUAGUUAUUGAGGUUUAAAUCUAUUGUAGGAAUUACUAGGGUUUGGUUUAGGGUUUAAGAUUUGGAUUAGGAUUUUAUUUACGGUUUAGGGUUUGGUUAGGAUUUGGUUUAGGAUUUAAGAUUUGAUUUAGGGUUUAAGAUUUGGUUAGGGUUUUAUUUAAGGUUUAGGAUUUGGUUUAGGGUUUGGUUAGGAUUUGGUUUAGGAUUUUGUUGGGAUUUAGUUUAAAGUUUUUUUAGGAUUUGAUUUAGGGUUUAGGAUUUUAUUAGGAUUUAAGAUUCAAUUAGUUUUGGCCUAAAGUUUGAAUGAAGUUUAAUAGGAUUUUAACUAGAAUUAAACUAAGAUUGAAUUGAAAUGUAUUUGAGUGAUAUUUGUGAUCCUUCUAAUAUUUCUUUAAAAAUUUUCAUUGUUUGUUUGAAAUUUCUUUGAGGUUUUUUUGAAUUUGAUUAAGCUUGCUUACCAUUAUUAUAGUCUAAUUAGAGCAUUGUUAGUAUUCUAUUAGAAUUAGGAGUUUAUUAUUGCAAUUUCCAUUCUUCCUUCCACAGCCAGGUGCUUAGAGCAUUCUCAAGCAAGACUUCACGUAUUAUGACAGCGGCAUGCAAGAAAGCUCUUGUACCUACAAAUAUAGGAUUAAUUAUAUUAGACUUAUGACUUUCUAUUUGAUUAACUAUGCUCUUAGUUGUACUUUCAAAAAAAUCAAGACUACAAGAAGUCCAAUCUAUUUUAGGAUUAUAUUUUUUUAGCCAUGAUAAACCUAAGAUGAUUGGAUUAGAAGGAGAUCUAAUGAUAUUAAAUAAUACAAAGCUACUAUGACCAUUAGUUGCUACUUCUAUAGGAAGGGUUUCAUGGGUAACAUCUCCUGAAGACAAUGGAUGUCCAUCUAUGACUUCUACAUGAACAGGUUUAGUUCUUCAUUAAAAGUAUACUAUGUCUUUUAGCAAAUUCUUCAUCUAAGAAACAUGUUGAGGCUCCUGAAUCUAACAAGGCAUAGGCUUUGUGAUGUUUAGGUCUUAAAAUAAUAUUUAUCGUAAAACAAGAAGAGGGUUUUGAGGAAAAAAUAGGACCUUCACUAAGUGUUGUACAAGGCUCCAACCGAACGGUCCCUAUUAUAGCUAGACAAACUCGUUUUCUGACAUACUAUCUUCUUUAAUAACCGUAGUCCUCAUUUUAUGGUUAUGUUGCUUCUUUGGAUAAUGUUGAGCAGUGUGCUUAGAUUCUCCAUAAUAUAAGCACAAUCCUUCCUAACAAGGACGAGUCUUUCCUUGCUCAAUAAGAGGUUUGAAACGUACCAUAUCAAUUUAUAUAUCCUCUACUUCUAAAUGUAUGUGUUGAAGAGAUAUUGGUGUUGCUCUUAAAUUAUAGUAAUAUUGAGGUCUUCUUGUACAGUUCUCAAAUCGAAAUUUAAAAAGACUAUUAUCGCACUUCAUAGCAAAGUCAAUUGUUUGAUUCAAUGUUUGAGGAUCGGAUAAGUUGAGCAUUAAUUUUUUUACCUCAUAUUGUAAUCCAUAGAGAAAUUGGCUAACAAGUGCAGCAUCAUCUCACUUGAUAUCAGUUACAAGUUAUUAAAAUUGUGAAGCAUAUAAUGUUACUGAACAAUUGUCUUGUCGCAAAAUACAGAUCUUGUUGGUUGCAACAUGAAUUGUAACACAUUCUCCAUAUAUUGAUCAAACCUCUGCCAAAAAAGCCUCUAGAUUAUCUAAUAUUGGAUCUUGUUGUUCAAGAAAAGAUGAAAACUAUGAUAAUACUGAAUCAAAAAGAAGCGUAUCAAUAAAUCUAACUUGUGAUCUUGGAGUUGGAUAGCUUUGGGGUUGAAGUUCAAUCACAAGUUGUACUUAAUUAAUAAAAACUCUAAACUUUGAUCUAAUGCCAUCAAACUUCUUUGGUAGGACAAUUCUUGGUUCUUUAAUAGUGGAAGGAUUUUCUACUAUAGGAGAAAGGACAUGAUUUGGUGCAGAUGUUGAAGCAGCUCUAAUCAUUUCUAUAUCUUCACUUCCUACCAAUCUUUUUGCUCCUUGUGGUGGUAAAGUGAGUUGAUGCAUUGCAAGCAUUAACUCGCUCAAUUGUUCUUGCAUUUGUGCCAUUGUACUCUUCAUUUCAACAAGUUCUACCAUGAUAAUACUUAAAAAAGAGAAGAUAUCUAAUAUCGCUCAAGACAAAUAAAAGAAAAGACUUAAGAACAAAAAAAAUACUAAAAAUAAUAUCUGUUAAGAAGAGUGUAAUCUACAACUUCUAAUACGCUUAUGUCUUAUUAAGAAAAAAUGGUAAUCUAUUCUUAAUCAAGAUUAAAUAAAGCUCUGAUAUUGUAAGUAUACUCUUGUCAAUCUGUCAAGGAUAAAAACUUGAUAAAAAUAAAUAAACAAGUGAGACUUUUCUCAAAGAAAGAUGACAAAAUAGAAAUAAUUAAAUAUAUAUAUUAAGAAAGAAACUAGAAUGGCUAUUGCCAAAAGACAAGAAAACUAGAAACCCUUGAAACUAGACUAGAAGCAAGAAAGGAGUUGACAAGAGUGAAGAGGGCUUCAUUCUUGUCUCUAUAUAUACUAUCUAACUAGGGGCUAUAUGGCGAUGUUCUAUAGGACCUCCAAUAUGUAUUAACUUUAUAAGACACAUGCCUUGACUUACAAGGCAAGUUAUUUUAUGUGUGGACCACAUAGUUAGCUUGGUCUUCAAGCUAAUAACAUAUGUGGUACAUGUCUAACUUUUUGACCACGUUUCUAAUCCAAAAAGUCAAUUAAAGGCACCUAUAAAGUCAAAACAAUGUCUAUAAAGCUUCUAGGAAGCUUCUAUAGAAGAUAUUAUAGAAUUAAUUUAUUUUUAUCUAAUUUUACUUACUUUUACCUAUUUAUAUAUGUAAUUACUCGCUUACAUGCAUAUGUCCAUGACAAGUAACUAAGAUUUCACAUAAACUUGAGCUUGAAUGUUUUUAUAUAAGUGAAACAUGACCAUACUAUCUCAAAAAAAUCCAAGAUCCUUCUAAUUCACAACAACAUAAAGCCUCAUUACAAAAUAGGAUAAAAUAGACCAAAAUAAAACUAAAUCAAACUAAAAAAAAUAGGACAUAAAAGACAAAAUUGAGCAAAUAGAAAUAGAACAAAACAAAAGUAAACAAAAAUAUGCAAAACCAAAUUUUAUUAAGAAAAAGGAUCUAAAACCAUACUUGACCAGAUGCCUCAAAAAAACCUAGUUAUUUUUAUUUAUACCUUGUUCUACCAUCCUUGACUUUCUAAAAUGUUCUUACAUAGUCGAUCCCAUCCAAAUAACCACUUUAAACUCUUUUUCUAGAAGAUUCCAUAUUGAACCCCACCUAAAUAACCAUCCUAAAUUCUUUCUAAAAUAUUCCAUGGUGGAUCCUACCUAGUCCACUAACCUAAUAUCAAUUCUAAAAACUUCUAAAAUUCUAAUUAUCUGUACAAUUAUCUUAUCUAUACCCUAUUAUAUUAAGAAGAAUUAAAAGUUGCAUGGAAUUUAUAUAGUGACGUUUUUAGAUUUUAGAUUUAAAAGGUGUUUACAAUGAAGAAAAUGGAUUGAGUUUGUUUGAUUUAUUAUUUUAGAUUUUGAAAUGCAAGAUUUUAGAAGAAAACUUAGUUGCAUACAAGAGAAUUUUGUUUUUGAAGAAAAGAGUUUUAAAGAUUGAAUGGCCAAGUUGCUAACAUCAUGUCAUGGACAUACAUAUUGAUAUUAAUAUUUACGUAGAUAUGAAGAGUUGACUAAUAGCAUGUAAAUUUCAUAAUAUCUUAUGAAAAAACUUUAUAGAAGCUAUAUGGACAUAUUUUUGGCUUUCUAAGUAUUUAUAGGUGAUUAGUAGGUUAAAAACUUUGCCUUAAGUUAUUCUAAAAAGUAUAUUAAUGUCAAGAAUUCAAUAUAAUGUAAUUAUUUGGUAUAUUAAUGUCAAGAAUUUAUUAUUUGAAUAUAUUAAUAUCAAGAAUUCAUUAUUUGGUAUAUUAAUGUCAAGAAUGUAUUAUUUGAAUUCUUAACAUUAAUAUAUUCUUAACAUUAAUAUACUUAAGUUAUUCUUAAAUAUAUUCUUGACAUUAAUAUACUUAAGUUAUUCUAAAAAGCUUCUUAAAGAAGUUUCCUUGGAAGACUUGUAAACCAAGUUAUAAAAAAAUAUCUAUUCAAAAACUUUUUAUCAAGACUAAAUUCUUAUGUUUUUUAUCAAAAGUUCUAAGAAGUUAUUAGAAUACUCUAAAAACAUCUUAAAAUGAUGAUAGAAAUUUUUGAAAAUAACAAAAAAUUAUCAUUUGUGGCAUCAAAUAUAUAUAUAUAUAUAUAUAUAUAUAUAUAUAUAUAUAUAUGUUAAAAAUAUCUACUUUUUUAAAAAAAAUAAUUAAAAUAUUAAAUUAUCAUUAUAAAAUAUCUUUUUAAAAUAAAAGAAUUUUAAAUAUAAUUUAUAAAAAAUAUUAAUUACAGUUUAUAAAUUUUAUUAGUAAAAAUUAAAAAUAUUAAUAAUUUAAUAAUUAAAAUAACUUAAAAAUAAAAUCAGAAGUGAAUCAAUAAUAAUCAAUAUAACUAUAGAUAUUAAUAUUUAAAUCUAUUUAGAGUCAUUUAUUUUAAUUUUUAAUCUUUUAUAUUAUAUUAAUGGAUUUUUAUAAGAUUAGUUUUAGAAGAAUAGAAGUCAAUGUGUAUCUAAAAUUUAAAAUUUCUUCUUAUAGAAGUCAACAAAAAGUUAUUCUUACAAGGAUGAGAUAUGAAAUUAAGAUUAAAGUCAUUCUCAAUCUUCUCAAAUCUUUUCUUAAAUUGUAUUUUUUUCUUUUAGGACUUUGGCCCUUUUUUUUAUUAUAUAUAUAUAUAUAUAUAUAUAUAUAUAUGUGUGUGUGUGUGUGUAAAUAUAUAUAUAUAUAUAUAUAUAUAUAUAUAUAUGUGUGUGUGUGUGUGUAAAUAUAUAUAUAUAUAUAUAUAUAUAUAUAUGUGUGUAAAUGUAUUAAAGAUUUAUCUCUUUUCAUAAUUAUUUUUAUGCAUUAAAUAAUAUACAUUUAUUAAUCAAAUAUCAUAAAAAAUAAAAAAAAUUUAGAUUGUUUUUAGAUCUUAGAAUUUUUUAAAAUAAAAUUAAAAUAUUUAUCUUUUAAAAAAAUAAUAAAAAAUUUCAAAUAUUGUAUCUUAUUUAUUUAUAAUAUAUAUAUAUACAUAUUUAAUUUAAUAAAUUAUAAAAAAUAUUAUUUUUUAUGAAUUAUGAAAAAACUAUUCAUAAAUUUAAAUAUAAAUUAAGUAUCAAAAUUAAAUCUUUUAUAUGUAAUUUUUUUUAUCUUCAAAAAAAUUUGAAUUUUUAAAAAAAUCUAUGAGAAAAAAAAUUGUAAUUAUAAUAAAGAUUUUUAUAUUAGCAUGAUAUUUGAAGAAAGAAAAUGAGAAAUUUAUGGCUCAUAAAAAUAAAUUUAAAAAAUUAAAAAAUUAAAAAAUGAUAUUUUCAUUUAAUAGUCAAUUCAUGACAUCUACAAAGGUUUUUAGAUUCAUUGUGUUGAAAAAAACUAUCAUAAUGUUGGAUAAAUUUAAUAGAUAAAGGUUUAGAUUUUGAAGGUUUGUGAAAAAUAAUUGAACAUAAAAUAAGUGAAACUUUAUGGAAACUUCUUUAAUGGCACUAAGAUCUUUGAAUUCUUUUAGAUAUGAUGCAUGAUUAUUAAAACUUAUCAUACAAGUUUUGUACUUUUAGGAAUACAUAUUAGAAGCAACCUACAACUUCCAUACAUUAGCCAUAAGCCUUUCAGUCCAUGAAAAAGUUCCACAAAGCCUUCUUGAUAUUGAAAAAAUACAACAAGCAAGACACAAGUUUGUAGUAAUUAUGAAGACUAUACACAAGUAAAAUGUGGGAUGAAUUGGCUUUCUCUACCAACAUUCUUUUAUUUAUAGGUAGUGGAACAUGCCUUAAUAGACAACUUCCAUUACUUCACUUUCUCAUCUAUUAGUAAAUAUACUUAAAAUAUCUUUUACCACCUCAUAUACAAUAAAAAUAUUUUUGUUGGCAUAUACUUUAUAUUUUUAUAUACUAAAAGAAUAUACCAAAAUAUUUGUUGGUAUUUUAUAUAAUAUAAGGAUAUUCCUUAGAAUAUUCUUUAUAUUCUUACCUAUCAUUUGGAUAUUCCCUAAUAGAUUCUUUAUCUUCUUGAUCUUGUUUCUUGGCCUUCUAGCUUAUCUAUACGGUGGCCCUUCUACAUUCCAAGAGUCAAUUCUUUAACCAUAAGCAACUUAUAUAAAGUAAUAUCUUUUAGAUAGCAACUUAUUUUUUAAUAUUAAUAUAUUAUUAAUUAUUUUAAAAUAUAAUAGUUAAUAUACAGAAGCAAUAUUAGAAUUAUUUUUAGUUUUUUCAAAGUUUUUUAUAUAUUUCAGUUUUAUUUCAAAUCUUUGUAAUUCUUUUAUAUUUUUUAAAAAAUACAUUAUAUUUCAUUUGUUUAUUUAUUUAAUAUUUUCUUGUAAUUUAUUAUUAAUAUUUAAUAAUAUUAAAAUAAAUUAUUUGUUUAGAAUUUUGACUAGAUUGACAAUCUUCACAAUUUUAGUCAAAGAUUCUAAAAGAAAAUAUUUGAUUUUUUUUAUUACAUCAUUCAAAGUGUCUAUAUACACACACAUACACACACACACACACACACACAUAUAUAUAUAUAUAUAUAUAUAUAUAUAUAAUCCAUUUAUUUUAAGCUUUGAAAAAAAAUUCUUUGAUUUUUUGUUUUUUUAUAUUAGUAAUUUAUAAAAUUUAAACAUAAUUUAUAAAAAUAAUUUAAAAUAUAUUAAAUAUCAUAUAUAAAUUUACAUAUGAUAUUUAAUAUAUUAAAUUUAUAUAUGAUAUUAAAAUAAUUUAAACUAUAUUAAAUAUCCAAAAAAAAUUAUUUAUUUAUUUUUACAUCGCAUAAAAUAAUACAAUUACUAUUACAGUGUAAGCUUGUGGUUUNNNNNNNNNNNNNNNNNNNNNNNNNNNNNNNNNNNNNNNNNNNNNNNNNNNNNNNNNNNNNNNNNNNNNNNNNNNNNNNNNNNNNNNNNNNNNNNNNNNNUUUUGUGUUUUGUUGUAAUAAUUAUUUAUUAAUUUAAAAAUUAUUUAGAACAGUUUAUUUAAAUAAAAAUAUUUGAUUUAAAAAAAAUAAUCAUGUCAAUUUUACUUGCGUGUAUAAGAUGAAAUCAAAGAGUUUUUUAUAGAAACAUCUUUAUUAGUUAAUAAUUUGGAUUAUAUACAAUAUUUAAUCAUAUAAUUUAUACAUUACAUUAAUGAUAUAAUAUUUUAGUUUAAUACUGUGUCUUAUUAUAAAUAUAUGAUUUUUUUAAUAUUUUAAUAUUUACAAAUUGAUACUUUAUUCAAUGAUGUAAAUAUUUUUAAUGGUUUUUAAUAUGUUGGCAUAAGCUUAAUCAUCUCUAUUAUAAGAAUUUUAUAUGAAGUUAAUAAAUAAUUUUAUAAAUUUGAAAUUCAACUAAAACAUUAUUAGUUAAUUUUUUUUUAAUUAAACUGAAUUUAAUAUUAAAAAAAAUAUAUUGAAAAAAUAAAUUUUAAUUAUUUAGAAGUUAUUAAUAAUUGUGUAUGUAAAGAUUUACAAAUUAUUAUACAACUAAUUGUUUUAUAAAACUAGUGAUGAAACUUUUUUAAUUUUAGUUUUGAGAUAAUUAAAUAUUUAUAGUAAUAUGAUGUAUUUUUUUAAUUUUUUUAAUUUUAGCAUAAUAUUUUUUACCUACAAAAAAAUAUUUAUUUUAAUAAAGAUCAAUCAUUAAACAAAAUAUCAUAAAAAAUUGUGUCUUUAAGUGUAGACAUUUGUUUUUUAAUAAUUAAUUCAAAGACACAAAGCUUAUGCAAAUUUUUGUGAGAGUUAAAAGUGUUGUAUGUAAACAAUGAGAUAGUAUCAUGGACAUCUAUAUUGACAUUAGUAAUUAGAAUGAUAAGAGGAGUUAGGUAGAAAUAUAUACAAGUAUGUUAAUUUAAUAAUAGCUUCCUGCACAACUUCUUAGAAGCUCUCUAAAUGCAGAUUUGACUUUACAAGUAUUUGUAGGUAAUUGAUAGGUUGAAAACUUGGCCAACAAGUUGCUCACAUGUUGCAUGCAUUGACCACUUGUAGUACGAAUUGGCCACAUGGUGUCUACGUUGGAAUUUGUUUUUAAAAAUAAGACAUGUGUCUUGCAAGUUGGACAUGUGUUGAAUGACUUAUAAAACAUUGACAUGUAACUCUUUAGUUAGAUAGUAUAUAUAAAGGCAAUAGUGAUACCUUCUUCACCCAUGUUAAUUUUUUUCUUUUUGUCUUUUUUUUUUUUUUUUUUUUUUUUUUUUAGGUUUAAUUUCAUUUUUUUGGCAAUAGUUAUUUUACUUCCUUCUUGAAUAUUUUAUUUAUUUAUUUAUAUUAUUUAUUUUUAUAUAUAACUUGUUAUGUUUAUUUAUAUUUCUCAAGUUCUUAUCAUUUACAAAUAGCCAUACUUAUAUGAGGUAUAAGCUAUAACAAGAUAGAUAUAAUUUUUUUGAUAUUAGAAUUAAUAUAUAGGCUUUAAUCAUAGAUACGUUUAAAUAAGAUUAGAUGGGAGUCAAUAGAUUAUUCAGUAAUUAAUAUUAACACUUUACUUAAUCUAAUAUUUUAUUUUUUAUACAAUUACAACUUUUCUAUAUAUCAUUAUAUUUUAAUUAUGUAAAUUAUAUAUAUAUUCUAUUAAAUAUAUUAUGUCAAAUAUAUAAUUUUAAAAUUAAAUUCAUAGGCCUACAUAAAAUCUUAAUCUUUUAUUUGAAUAUAUUUAUUAAUUUUAAUUAAUAGAUUUUUAAAUUUUCUUAUUUUAUUAUUGAUAUACAUAUGAUUAAUUAGUUAACAUUUAUUUUAAUGAUACAUCUAUUAAAUUUUAAAUUAUUUUAUUUUAAAUGUUAAAAGAUAUAAUUACAGUACAUAUUCAAUAUUAGAAAAUAUAACAAUAUAUUUUCCAAAAUAUAUUUUAUAUUUUCUAAAAUAAAUUAAAUAUUAAAUACCACAUAAUUUUUAUAUUUUAUUGUUUCUUAAUAUAUUUUUGAUGUAUUAAAGUCUCUUUACAUACAUAAAUACACAUAAAAUAUAAAUUAUUUACUACCAAUUUUAGAAAAAAUAUUUUAAAAAAUAUUUUGCCUCAAAAGUGCACUUUUAAACUUCACAAUAUAAGUUUCUUAUUUUAUAGUAAACACAAGGUGAUUUUAUAUGCAAUAAUUUUGGAAAUAAAUAUAAAAUACAUAUAUAUGUGUAUGUAUGUAUCUAUGUAUGUAUGUAUAUGUAUAUAUGUGUGGCCUCUUAAAUAAAUACAUACAUACAUAUAUACACAUCAGUAAAAAUAUAUAGCUAAAUUUUUUUAAAAUAAAAAAAAUUUAAAAAUAAAAAAUAAAAAUGCAUUGGAAGUUAAGUAGAAUUUUGUGCUGGCGACGAUGAUCUUUUUCAUCAUACUUUGUAAUGUACAACCAUACAUCUAUGUUAACAAUAUAAAUAAUUUAUAAAAAUAGAAUCCGAUGAACCUUUUUUUUUUUUUUUUGUAAAUGUAAUCUACAAUAUCCUGUAUAAGUCUACAUAACAUCUCUAAGAUUUCACCUUAAUAUAAAUCAUCAAAAUUCAACAAAAUUUUGACAAAUUCUUACAAUGAAUAAAGUCAUAAUGCAUAUAUUCUACAAUAGAUUAUAAUUGUCAAUGCAAAACUAAAAAAUAUAUUUAAUCUAACUUAUAGAAUAUUUGGCAUAAGUUUAAUUCUCAACCAAGCAACACAACUGGCAUAUUUGUAACUUAUUAGUGUAAUAUGACUUACAUCACACGAUUAUUUUAAAUGCAUCGAAUAUUGCAUGUGAUAUUUAUUAGAUUCUGAUAUCUCUAGUGAUAAAUAUCUAAAAUUACACUAACCAACUAACUAACUAACUAACUAUAUAUAUAUAUUUAUAUAUUGUUGUAUACACCCAAGUAGAUCUUACACUUAGAAGUCAACUUUAAAUGACUAUAGUUUAAAAGCUUUAUUGAGAUAAUCAAAAAAAAAUAUUUUUAGAAGCCUUUGGCCUUACAUAAAAUUUAAAGUGAAAUGAAGCUACAAAAUGGACUUAAUCAUUAUUUUUAUUAUAAGUCUAAUUAUUUCAAACAAUCAGAAAAAAUAUAUUUUAAAGUAAUUUAAGCAUUUUUUUACAAGACUUUCAAGUAUUUAUAUAUAUAUAUAUAUAUAUAUAUAUAUUUAAAUGUAACCACAUGAAUACAUAUCUUAAGCACUAUUUUUUCCCCUGCACUCUUAAAAAAGGGAAACAAUAAUCCGACUUUGACAUUCCAUAACAAGGGUCAAAAUCAGAAUCAUCUCAAACAUGAGUUCUCAAACGAACAACAAAACCCGCAUUCAUGAAACACGAUCCACCAAAAUAAACUAUGUAUUAUAUAUAUAUAGUAAACCUAUAAAUACGAUGCAUGCAUUAUUCCAUAUCAACAUGAACUAUUCAUAAGCCACCCUCCAAAACCAAUCAACUGACUUCACAAGGACCCAUUUUUCAUUCUGAGGGGGACCCACUCACACCAAGUGUCCCCUUAAAGUCUCACCCUGUACCUACCUACCUACCUACCUACAAACCUUGCUACCAUCCAAGCUCACGCCAAUCCCUGGUGAUUAAACAGCUGUCUAACGCCCAUUCGUGCAUCGAAGUGAUAUAUUCGUAAUCACUACUACAGUUGCGAGAGGUGUGAAAUUGGUUCCGAGGUACAGGUUUAGGGUAAACCCUAAACCCUAAACCCUGAAUGCCAAUAUUAUAAAGCAAGGCAUGGUGAGCAAGCACAACGGUGCCAGCUCACUCACUCACUAGUAAGUGGCCCAAUCCGCCACGUGGCCACUAUGGGCGUGCUAUGCUGGCACUCAGCAAUUGCAAUAACAUAAAGAAUUUGGAUUCAGUUCAGGAUUUAGGAUUUUAGCACAUUUCUAGAGUUUCCAUUGAUUUUCGGAUUUUGCGGUUUGUUGGUUGGCUUUUCUUUUCUUUUUAUUUAUUUAUUUUCUAUGCUUUUGUUUUGUUUUUCAUGUUUUAUUUUUGAGUGGUACAUGAUCAUAUUUUUACAAAUUAUUAUUUUCAUGAUAUUACAGGUGUAAAUAUGGAGUUACAGUUUUUUCAAAUUUCGUAAUUGCUGUUGUAAAUAGAUAAGCUAAUUCUUUUACUAGUAUAUAUUAUUUCCAUUAUAAACAUGAAUGUAGAUUAACAUACAAAAAUUAUUUUCUUAACCUUGACAAAAUUGUAUUUUAUCCUCUAAACAAUGGGAUUUUCUCUCCCUCUCUCUCUUUCUCUUUUUUUUUUUUGUUUUCAGAUCAAUUUAACAUGUCCGGGUAAAAUGGCAUCAAUGGUUAAUCCUUGUCCAAGAAAUUUUAAUUUUUUUGAUUUGAUUUGUUUUGUUUUCAUCAAUACAGAGAUAUCUCACCUUUCUGGAAUUUUUUUCUACGUGUAGAUCUAAGUUGAAGAUUCAGCAACUUUAUUCAAAUCUGGAUCUAUUUUUUACUGCAAUAAGAUCUGAUGUAUAUCAGAUAAUUGUUUUGUAGAAAGUUUAGUUAAUAAACAGUGGACAGAAUUAUUCAACAACUUAGAUUUUAGUUACAAUGAUAAAAUUAUUUGUUUUAAUUUUAAUCAAUACAAAAUACUGAUAAGAAUAAACUAAAAAUCAUGCCAUUAUAUAUAUAUAUAUAUAUAUAUAUACACACACACACACAAAAGUAUGUAAAUAUUUGGCACUCAAGAUAUUUCUUUAGAAUUUUGUUAAGAUAUAUCUUAGUUGAAGACACACAUUUAAUAUGAUAAAGUGUAAGAUACUAAGAUAAGAUUGGGUUGUUUUAUAAGUCAAAGAGGUAUGGAACGCAAUAUGACAUAGGAGUCAACAGUUGUAAAAGUCAAUGGACAAUUGGUUGUUCUUACAAAUACUAUUAUUUUGAGAAUUUACAAGAUUGAAACGCCAUAACAUUGUUAUUAGAUAAAGGGUAAAUUCUUUGUUAUGAUCAUUUGAUAUCUAUACAAGUGUAAUUAUAGGAUUGUGUAUAAGAAUUGGAGUUAGAUGGUAUCAUGAUUUGAAAGAAAUCAUGUAAUAAAAGUUUCACUGGUGUGAUAAGUAUUGGAUUUGAUUACAAGAGUAUUUAGUAUUAUAAGAGAUUUUGAGUUGUACUACGAAGAAGUGAGUAUUACAAUCAUAAAGUGUAACGUCUAUUCUAUUAUUCUAAAUAUUUGAUGUUGUGUAUAUAUAUAUAUAUAUAUAUACAUAGUCUUGUUAUGUUUAAAAAUUUAUAAAAUGGUCUUUUAAUCAUAUUUAUGAAGAAUUAUCCAAAAUUGAAAUGUUUAUUGUAUCAUAUAUCUCAUUAAAUUGAUUCUAAUAUAAAAUAAUCAAAAUUUAAAAUUAAAAGUAUUUUUUAAUAUAAUGAAAAUAAUUUAAUAGAUCAAAAUUAUUUAAAUCAUAUUUUAUAUAAAAUAUGAAAUUACAUAAAAAUUAUUAAGAGACGUUUCUUUUAAUUUUAAUUUUCAAUCGGUAUCUAUACAUACAUAAUAAUAUCAUAAACUAGAAUUAAUCAUAAUUAUCAAGGACAGAGAGAAAAAAGAUUAUAGUAUUGGAAAUUGUGUAAAAACAAAAAAAACAAAACAAAACAAGAUAAGAGAUUGGCAAUAAGACUUAAAAGAGAUUAGCACUUUGAUUGAUUCAAAGCUUAUGUUGGCAUGAUUAACGCAUCCCUUGUACCUUUAUUUGUUACAAAAUAACUAAGUCUAAUAAAAGAUUCUUAGAAAGCUAAGCAUUAUAUAACACCAUAUAGAUUAAAAAAUCUUCUAUAGAAGCUUUUAGAAGACCAUUGAAGGUUAAGCGUGGUUAUAUAAAGACUACAAAAGAUUCCUAAUAAAAUUUUAAUUGACUAUAAAAAUAAAUUAAAAAGAUAGUAGGAAUUUAAAAAAUUUACAAGAAAAAUAGUAAAAAUACCUAAAGGAUUCUAAAUGACUAUUAAAUAUUUUACAAGUUACCAAUGCUAUAAUCUAUUGUGUAUUAGAUAUAUUACCUUAUUUUAAAUUAACAAAUUAAACAAAAAAGAACUUAAAUAGUUGAUGCCUUUGCAUAUCUAAAUUAAUAAAAAUUUAUUAGAGAUUUCUUGUGAUGUAUUUUAUCUUUUGAUCUAUACAAUGGAUUGAAUUGGUCAUUUAUCUACCAAAGAUAUUUACAAGUUUUUGAUUUCAAUGUAAGCCUUCAAAAUAUUCUUAGAAGAUAACAUAUUAAUUAAUAAAUUAAUAUUAUUAAUAGAUAAAAUAUAAAUAAGACUUAAAAAAUAGUUAAAAAAUAGUUAAAAAAUAGGACUAAAUAACCUUUACUUGUAAAAUAAAAUAAAAUAAUAUAAAUAGUUUUUUACAUUCCUAUUCUUUCUUUCAAAUCCACAUCUUGAAAGAAUGUCUCUUUUAGAACUACUUUAUUUAUAUCAUUAGCACUAUACUUGAAUAUUUUUAGAUAAAUAAAUUAUUGUUGAUAAGAAUAUUAUUAAUAAAAAUCACAAUUAUUUAUAAAAAUGUUAAAUAGGUUAAAUAAUAGCCUCUUGUUUGUUUGUUUGUUUGUUUGUUUGUUUGUUUUGUUUUGUUUUGUUUUUUUUUGUUUUUUUUUGUUUUUUUUGUUAAUAUUAUAUUCUGAAUUUUUUUUAAAAUUAAUUGUUCCUUCUCUGUAACAAAUCUGUGUUUUUUAUUUAGCCAUUUAUUUUUUUAUUAUUUUAAUUUUUUUUUAUUUGGUUUGGAUUAGAUUUCAAAUAUCAAAUUAUUUAAUCUAAAUAAUCAUUAUAAAAAAUUAUCAAAAACCAAAGUAAAACAAAAAUAAUUUUAUAUUCCAUCUUCUUUAUUGUUGAUUUAAUAUUCGUGCAUUUAUAUAUAUAUAUAUAUAUAUAUAUAUUUAAUUCUUAUAAUCUAUACCCAUAAUGCUUCUUUUAAUAAGUAGUACUAUUAUUGUAAUGUAUCAAUUAUUAUAUUUUAUUAAUUUUUAAUUUAGAAGAAAUAUAGAAAUAGAUAAAGGUUGUUAACAUUGUAUUGUAAAAGUAUUAAGCCAAAGAAAAAAUCAAUUCAACUCAGAUCUAAACAAAAUGUUUUGUUUGUUUGUUAUUUUAUUUAUUUUAUUUAUUUUUGGUUUAUUUUUUGUUUUUAAAUUUGUAUGUAUUUUUAAAUCCUUUUGUACUUCAAACAUAUAAAAUUCAGGCUUUUGUUAUAUUCUUAUGAAGUUGAUAAAAUAUUUGAAUUUGAUUUUUUUUGACUUUAUGAAUUAUUUCAAAACAUUGGAUUGAGGAUGUUAAUAAAAUAGUGAUGUAGGUUUAAAAUAUAUUAACUACAGUAAAAACUAAAUAAUUAAAUUAAAAAAAAUUGGAAGGACUUAACUUCUUUAUUUGUUUUUGGAUUGGAGCAAUUAAACAUUUAAUUUGUGAUUUUUUUGAGAUUUAUGUUGAUUUUUUUUAAAAAACAAAAUAAAAUGAAAAGACAAGAAUUAAAUAACCAUAUUAAGGUUUUGGUGUUCUUUUGAAGAUUACUAGAAAGAUUUAAAGACUUUCAAGUAAAAUUUCUAUAAAGUUUCUAUAAACCACUAAACUGUUUAAGGAAGUUAUUUGAUGGUGUGCAUAGCAUUAGAAUUAUAUAAUAGUUUAUGUGAAAAAAACAAAAAGCAACAAAUCACCUUUAAAAUAACAAGGUUUAUUGCACACAAUGCAUAGUAAUUAAUAAGACCAUUGCAUAUAGAUUGGUAAAAGUUAACUUUUAUAAUUAUCUUUAAAGUUAUUUUAAAAAUUAUCCAAAUCUUUUAAAGUCAUGUUAAAUAAAUAAAUAAAAAUUAAACAUGAACUUAUGUAAACUAUCUAAAAUACUUAUAAAGAUAAGAAAUUAAUCUUAAAAACUACAAUCUUAGUUCUAGUAUUUAAUACAUAUUUUGUUUGUGAAUCAUUUUAAUAGCCACGAAAUAAAAUAAAAUCAAUUGGUCUUUCCAAAUUAAAAAUAUGAAUUUUUAUACAAAAUAAAGACACAAAUAUCUUAUUUGGUAGUUAAUUUUAUUUUUAAGUUGUAAAUAAAAUUGAUUUUAUUUUAAAAAUUAGUAAUACACAUUAAAUUAAAAAAACUCAAAAGUAUUGUUUUGAUGCAAAAACUUACUUCUAAAACUUUAUAAUUAAAAAUAAACCUUUUAACAAUGUGAUAUUUUGUCUUUGAGCCAUUUAAAAAACUUGCUACCACUUUUUCAUAUAAGGUUCUAGAAAAUUCUUUGGAACCACAUUUUAUCGAAACUCCAUUUGUUUAAUGUAAAAUAACAUUGAGAAAGAGAAAUUGGAGAAAUAUCUACUAACAAGUAUGAAGUUAGGGUGAAUCAGAAUUUAGAUUUCAGUGCAUGGUUAGGGUUUGGAGUUUAGGAUUAACAUCUACAAAAAUAAAUAAAAGUAAAAUAUAAAAAAAGGAGAUGCAUGUAUGAGCAACACUAGGGUCAUGGUUUCUCUGAAACUGGGUUUCAAUGAAGGCUUGAUCAUGAACAAGUAGCCCUAAUUUUAGAUUAUAUGUUAUAAUUCAAUGCUGUGUUGAGAGUUGUUGGUUGCACAGAUGAGCUUGCAUGCAGAUGAGUCAAUUCUCCCACCACUCUUGGUUUGUUUUGUCUCUUCCAUGAUGUUGAGUUUGGGAUCGGUGGCAGGAGGAGGAGGUCGAUGCACAUGAGGCUUGGUUGGGAUAACUUGUUUCUGCAAGUGGUUGUUUUUAUGUUUUGAUUGCACACAAUAGUUUUGUUUUGAAUGUCCAUCAUCUCCUUUCAUGCUCCUCUUAGUCGUGCUCGUUGUACUUAUUUUUUCUGAUCCUGGAGCUCACAUAUUUGUCGAGAUUUGUAGGUAUAGCCUUCAUGAAUAUGGACUUUGCCAUCCUGUUGCCCCAGCAAGGAUUGUGGGCGUCACUGCCUGAUUUUUAGCUAGGAUGUCGAAAUCGAUGCAGUGCAUGCAUCGUUCAAAUUCACUAUGCUCUUCACUUCUCGAUUUUAUGAUCCUCGUGAGCAUGUUGUGGCUUUGAACUAGACAGAAAUUAGGGUUACGGGAUCAAUUGCUGCAUGGAAGUUAAAUGCAUGCUGUAAGAUGUGAGUGCGGACACGGUCGGUGGCCGUCACAAUCGCCAAUUUGAAGUGCCUGAGUGAAGGUCAAUGCAGAGCUGUUGGGUUUAACUUCCCAGACGCGGACGAUUACAAUGGGGAAAUUCAAUGUUCUCGUUGUGUGAUUCACAAAACCAGGUACCUCUCAAACAUCAAAUGGUCCAAAUUGGUGGACACCGUAACCCUUUCCAACGAUGGAGUAAUCACUGAGGAAGGCAUGAUGCUCAUCUACGGGACGCAGUAUAAUUUUUCACGUCAAGGAGAGGAACUUUGUUGGCGAUGAGACCUGUUUCGAGAGACUACGUGAAGCAGAAACAACUCUUGGGAAGCUACACGACCUUUCUUUCAAUCAAACAACACCGUUUUCAGUCAAUCUGGAGAUCGCUAGGGCUCAUGUUUUUCCCCAUCAAUCAGGUUCGAUCAGGAUCCAAAUGCUACUCCUUGGCCAACACCCACACUCCUGAUGGUUGCCCUCCUGUCUGAUAUAAAGAAACAAUGCUGCUAGAAGUUCUGCUUGAUGUUAAACAACGUUCUCUAGUGCAUAGUAUUAAACAUAACAGCACCUCAAUUCACUCUUUCCCAUUUCUCUUACCCUCCAUAUUUUCUUUCUAGCAUGGAGGGCAAAGGGAGCAUACAAUCUACAUCACUACCCACCUGAGGUGGUGGGAGCAUUGGCAUGGGAUACAGCAAACAUCACAGAGGAAGCCAGAGUUUCUACAACUAGAAUGACAAGGGCAUAUAGACAAGGUGUUGAAGAUAAGGGCUGCAUCACAGGCUUAUGCCACUGAGAUUGCAUUCUCAAACAUUACAUUCUGAAAGCAUGAAAUGCUGGUGAAGGUGAGAGAAGCUAAUAAUGCAAUAGAUGCAAUGACAGCCAUGCCAAGUAGCUGAAGCUGGAAGCACCCCAGCAGUAGCAUCAGCUCCAUAGCUGCUGCUGCAGCAGCAACAGCAUCAGGUAAGGAGCUAGUCUUCACCUUAUCAAGCUCACAUCAAAUCCUGCAUGUUUUGUGUGCAGUUUUUUCACAAUAUGAUAGUGUAGGCAUGUUGACUUGGGACCCAGUUUUAGGCUUGCAGCAUGUUGUGUUUUAAGGCUGCCAAAGGUUUGAGGCCUUUGUUUUGUGAAUCAUGGUUCAUGUUGGCUUGGCUUCCACAUCAUCCCACAGUAUCUUGUGGACACAGGAUAUCCUUGCAAAUUAUUUACACUUGACUCUAUUUUGAACUAUUGUUGCAAGUGUGUCUCUUCUCAGUAGCAUCACUAUUGGAGCAAAUGAGUUGCUACACAUGAGGAAGUGUUCCAUUCAAGGGUCCUUUCUAUUCACGAAAUAUUACAUGCAAAACAAAACUUUAAAAUAAAAAAUAAAAAUGGACAAGAAGAACAAAAAAAAGAUGAAUCGUUGAGUAGAGCUAUUUGUAGUAUAAUAGCAUGGCACGAGGUUAAGAGGAAUUCAAGAUUGCAAAUGAUGAUUAAGCCAAGGUCUUUAAACCUUUUGACAAAUGUUGCAUACAUUCAGAAUUUCUUUGUGUGGGAUGCAAGUUCUGUGGUUUUGAUACUUGAUGGCAAUUCAGUCAUAAGCUUUGAGUUAUGAUUGGCAUGUGUAUAUGUCCAAAAAUAAUACAAUUUAAAGCAUGAGUUUAAGAUUAUGAGAGUGUUAAGAUUUUGAUGAAGGUUUCAUUGGAUCAUUCAUAUGUACAUUAAGAGAUAAAACAAAAUAGCAUGAAAUAGUAAAUAUUUUAAAUUAAUUAAUAUUUUAUUCAAUUUCAGUAUUGCAACACAUCAAGUUAAACUUUUAAGAACAAUAGUAUACAUUUUUGAAGUUUUAUAAUUAAAAAAAAAAAUUGCAAUGAAAAGAAUGGUUCUCAUAACACCAUGUUAAAAGUUUAGAAAAGUUGAGAAAUUAUUCAUUUCAAGAUAUAUAAUAUUAUUCGCUGUUUUUUUUAUUAUUUUUUAUAUAUUUUUUGCAUUUUUUUUAAUAAAAAGAUUCAAUAGUAAAAAAAAAAAAAAAAAAAAAAAAGUCUAAUUAUAACAUUUUACAAUUGUUAGGUACUAAUAUUUUUGAUAAAUGCUUCAAUGUUUUAUGAUGUGAGUGUAUAUACAUAUACAAAAAAGAAGAUUUGGAAAUACAUAAAUAAUAUCACUUUUUGAUUUGAUGAUUAUAAUAAUAAAAAAUAGUUUCUUUACUCCUUUUAAUUACAUGGUAUAAUUUUAUUGAUAAUAACAUAUCUUAAUGAAUGCAAGAAUAAGAAUAAAUACCAACUUAUCAACUUUUUAAUAAUUUAUUUUGAUUUAAGUUUCAUCACAUUCACUCGCCUGUUGUCAUCAAAAUGUUUCUACUUCUUAUGCAACCAUCCAAAUUUGAAUUAACAAUAUUUUUAAUUCACACAUGCACAUAAGAAUUAUCUUUUCCUUUUCAUCUAGUUUUUAGAAAUAGAAUAUGUGAAAAAAUUCCUUUGAUUAAUAUGCAAGUAUAUAAAAAUUUAAAAUUAUAACACCUUUUUAUUUUUAACUUAAAUCUUUAAUUUAUUUUUUUCUUAAAUAGUGUGAUUUUUUCAAGAUAAUCAACUUAAUGAAAUCCAAAUGUCAUUUUUUUUACCACCAAUAUUUUUCUGAUAAAAAAAGCCCCUCAAAAAAUACCCCAUCUUUUGAUGUCUUCGGAAAAGAUUACUCUUUCAUAUCAAGUGGAAAAUCCUCAAACAAUGACAUAGACAUAGCAAAUGCAAUUGCUUGUCUUCAUUCUAUUACUAUUAUUAUUAUUAUUAUUUGGUCUUCUUCGCCUGAUUCUUCUUACUUCCUUUUGCUGCAGCUAACCUCUUUUUGCGCAGUUUCUUAAGAGCUUUGCGCCAAAUGCGGCGAACAAGAUACCCCCUCCAUAUCUUUUGAAUCUUAAAUGCUGCCUUCAAACUUAGUUCAUUGUAUCCUUGGUUUGCAUACCAUUCCUCAUGUCUUUUAUUAGCAUCUGCUUUGGCCUUUGCUAUAAUUUCAAUCUCUUUAAAAUACCUAUAGUUGCAAAUAUAAAAAGGAUUUUUUUUUAAGUAAGCGUCACUUUUAUUAUAGGGCAAGAAUAAAUCCAAUUUUAAAUAUCAGUACAGGAUUCCCUUGUAACUUAAUAACAAGGAGUCUCAAACACUAGUAAUAUUUUGGCCCAUUUCUGCUCAGUAGAAGUAGAUUUUGUCUUUAGAAAAAGAAUAGUCUAGUUAAAAAUGUGGUUAAUGUAAAAAACAAAGAAAAAAAGAAAAAAACAACAACAAGCAUACAAUCCAACACAACUUUAUGUAAAAUCUAAAGAUAAAAUGUAAGUAUGUAUAUUUUUGAACUGAUACUAAUUUGUAUGCUUUAUAUUUUAAUCUAAGUUUAGACUAAGUAUUACUAUCACCCUCAUCAUUUUCAUUCCAUUUGCAUAGUUAUAGUUAAAAAAAAGAAUUACUUGGGCUCUAUGUUGGCAAUUUGGGCUUUCUUCAUUUUAAUUUGUGCAUUAAUGUGUUCAAUGGCCCAUAUCAUGCAUUGGGUAUCAUUCUCAAGGCUUGCUGUGAGAUUAAUGACUUCUUCACGCAACAAAGUGUUUUGUUUCCCCAUGUAAUCCACAAUUGCUGUGUGCACUUUCUUCUCUCUCUAAGAAAAAUAUUUUUCAAAAACUUGAUAAGAACAUGCAUUUUUUUAUUCUUCUCAAACAUGCCCAUAUUUUAUAUAUUAGAGAAGCAUGAUAUAUAUAUAUAUAUAUAUAUAUGGCCAAGGAUUCUUAAUUAAAGCAUGUAGUGAGGCAAGAUAUAAAGAAUGAGAAGUUCAAUGUUUUGAAAUACUUCUAAGUUGGAAUUUAAUUGAGAGUUUGUUGCUUGAGCUUUGGUGAGCUUUAUCUCACGAUCACGUCGUGCAAUGUCUGCGGUUGCUAAUGCUUGCUCCGCCCUACCCUCCCAUUCCUUUUUUCUUUUCAUAGUUCUUCAAAUUGCUUCAAAUAAUAAUAGUACUCAUAAAUAAGUGAAUAUUAUUUUCAUGCUUAUAUAGCUUAAGGAUUUGGCUUUUGCUGCAUGUUUCUUUCAAAUACACUUUAAUAAUGAUUGAUAUACAAUGUCUAGGAAAAAAACAUAUUAAAUCAUUCUUCAGUUAUAUCCAUUUGUUAGUUGCCAUUGUCAAUUUAGUAGAAUUAGUGCAAUUAGAUGAGUUUGUUGAAUUAAUUAAUGUAUCUCUAUUCUUUUUGAAAAUUAAUCAUGAUUAAAUUAAUGCUUAUGUUGGGUAUUAAAAACUUUGUUGAACAAUUCUUUUUGUUGGUACUCAUAAAUGAAGCACCAUGGCAGAUCACAAUAGCUUUUGACAAUUCACAUCAUUGAAACAAUAGAAACACACACUCAAUUCUAAGAAUAUGAGUAUUUAAGUUAUUAAAUACAUACAUACAUACACACACACACACACACAAAUGUACAUACUUGAAUUUGUAAGCAAUUCUUUGCUCUUUGCGCAUUUCUGUGAGUUCCUGCACACAAAAAUACUAUAAAAACCAACCAAUAAUGUCCAAAAAGAAAAGCUCAUAUACAAGAAUUAAUGUAUGAUUAUCAUUGUUUUAUUUUUCUUAUUAUAAUUUUUUUUGAAACAUUUUAAUAACAUGUCUGAACCAUAUGUUUAGUUAAUCCUAUUAAUCCAUUACAUGAUGCUUUAUUUGUGACUAGAAAAAAUCUAUUUUUUGUUAAUUGGUUCAUGUCAUGUGAAUAGAUGCAUUUUGCUCUAUUUUUAGACAAUGAAAUGAAUUCACCUUCUUAUGUGUAGUCAAAUUUUUGGCCCAUUCUAAUUUAUUCUGAACAUGAGCCUCUGCUUCAGCUUUCAUGACAUAUUUUGUAACUUCUGUCUUCCAUUUCAAAUCUUUGAUAGCCUCUAUGGCUUGCAAUAGCUCAUUCUCCCUUUUCUCAUUGUCUUCCACAGUCUAAUUGUUGAGCAAUCACAUUUUAUGAAACUCAUUGUUACUUUUCGAAAAUAAUGGAAAAAAUCAUAACUAGACCUUCAAUCCAAGAUGUCACAUUUGUGAAUUAUUAAAUUGUUUCUUGAAUUUAUUUCACUAAAAAAACAAAAUGAAAAAAUAUUAAAAAAAAACAAAAAAACAAACUAUCUAACUAACAAGAACACACACUUGUUAAACAAAAAAAAAUUCACUUUCUUUUGGAUAAUUUUAAAAGAAUAUUAAUACACACACACACAUGUAUCUGUCUAUCUAUCUAUCAAUACAUCUGUGUGUUUAAAUUAAUAUCCUUUUGUGUGUAUAUAUAUAUAUAUAUAUAUAUAUAUAGUUUAAAUUAAUUUGUGACACACCUUGUUUAUGACUUCAAAUGAAGAAUUUUUCUCCACCUGAUAUUGUCCAUAUUAAAUACAAUGGAACAUUUAAGCCACAGGAGCUUCUAAACGCAGUUACUAUUUUCAUGUGGUAUUUAACACUAUUUAAAUGAAUGUAGGAAUAAAAUUUAUUUUACUUUAAAAUUCAGAAGAAUUGUUUCAUUUGUGUCAACCGAAGUUAAUAAGAGAAAUAAAUCAACUAACAGAUCAAAUUAAUAUCUAGAUCACACAACACUAUUACUUAGUAAUAUAAUAAUUUUCAUUUUUAGACAAGAGUAGUUUAAAUUAUCCAUAAACUACCACCAAUUAAAUCACGUCUUUUUGUUAAUAAAUUACUACAUGGUGUGAAACAUGAUUUACUUAUGUGCAAAAGUUUUAGUAACAUGGAUCACAGACAUAUAAAGAAAAUCAAAAAUCAAAAAAGGAUAAUGGUAUUUAUCAUUAAAUUUGAAUGUGAAAUAGACCUCAUCUAAGGCCUUUUCAAAAAUGGACUUAAGCCAUUUUGCUUCAAUUUGAAAUUUUGAUACUGCAAUAGGAUGUGGUAAUGUAUACUUAAUUAAAUUAGCAGCCGCAAGAAUUUUAUUUUUUGCUUCCAAGAUUUUUUUCCCUUCAGGAAGAUGCUGAAUGUCGAUUUGGCUAUCUGCAAUCUAGAAAAAUUGUUAAAAAUCAUAUAUAUAUAUAUAUAUAUAUAUAUAUAUACAUACAUACAUUCAUACAUAUACACAAAGCUUAUAAUUGAAAUAAAUCAUUUCUCUCUAAAUACAUAUGCUUAGGAUCUACUGAUAUAAAUUACAUUUUUACUACUGAAUGGUAGAAGACUGCCAAAAACAAUUAUAUAAAUUUAUGUGUAUAUUAUUUGUUCAAUAAUAAAGCUAGUCAGCAUAUAGGUACAAUGAUAUCUUUCCAGUGAAGCACCAGCAUUGUAUAUAUGUAUGUAUGUACAUAGGUAUUGAAAACUAAUUAAAAGAAUUUGAGACAAUUAAAUAGUAGAAAUAUACCUUUAGAGCACCAGGAAGUUGCAUAAGGAGUGAGAUACGAUCAAGAAGACCUUUAAAAAAACCAAUUAGAUGUAAUCUUUGCAAUGGAUCACAUUCGAUCUUUGUAGGUUUUUCUUGUAAUAGUUGUUGAUUUUCUUCCAAUUCGGAAUGAGUGGAUGCCUCAUCCUCUUGAAUGGAAUCAACAUUUUUAAUGUUAUUUUUUGCAAUUGGAAUAUCAGUUAAUCUUUUUUUCUUUUUUUGAAUUUUGGAAGAAGAAAGUGCUUCAGACAUGGAUUUGCGUGCAACUUGGAGCUUCACAGACAAAAUAUAAAACACUUUCAAUGGAUUAUGUUUUCGCAAAUUUAUUGUAAUAAUCUUUAAAGGGUAUAAGAUUAAUGAUUGUAUUUUUGUUUUACAAAGAUUUAAUGAAUAAGAGCACAAUUUUACCAUAGAUCUUCGAAUUUCUGCUUCAACCUCAUAGGCAGAUAAUUUGCGUUCUUUGUUGAUAAGAUUGUCAUUUUCUAUGGUAGAAUCAAUUGCCAUUAGUUUUGUGUUCAAAACCCUAUUGAUCAUGCUUUCAAUAUUUAUCACCUUUUUCCAAGUUUGGAUUCUUUGUUAUCAAAGAAAGCAAGUUUUUAAAUUAUACGUGUGAUCUGAAAACAUAAAAAUGAUUAUCAUGACUAAGGUUACUCAAAAUGACUUCUAAAUACAAUGAAUAUCAAAACCCUUUUUAUUUAUAUUUUAUUUUAUUUUAGAAAUAAAGUGGUUUUGUAUUGAAGAUAACAAGUGUCAUGCAUUAAACCAUAUUUGAAAGCUCAAUAAUUUUAAUUGUGUAUAACAAAAAUUACUUCAGAAGGAUUAAACUUAUUAGAAAAAUAACAACCCAGAAAACCUUUAUUUGAUAAUUAAUAAUCAAUGUUCUUCAUUUCAUGUGUAGAGAUUUAUUCCAUUACAAAUAGUGAAUUAAUAUCAAUCAAAGUUGAUGUCACCUUUGGCAUUUGGAACAUGAAUCUUCACUUUGAUGCAUUCUGCUAUGAACAGGAUUGAGCCUUUAAAGUUUAUAUUAGUAAAAUUUAUGUGAUGUUAUGUUUGAGGUAACAUUUGAUAUUGGAAACUGCAUACAAUUUUCUUCUUUUUUGUAAACCCAAUAUCAAUUGUCAUAUUUGCAUGUAAAAAAGGAUUGUAAAAAUAAAUUUUGUUAGAAUGUAUUGUUUAAUUUUUAAUGAUUUUUUUAAUUAUAAAAAUAAUAAAAACACGUGAUUUUUAUUUUAAAAGGCUUUGUUAUAUGACAAUCUUUACAAUAAGAUGUUGUGUAUUUUUGUAAAUAGAAUGCAACAUUAUUGGAAGAGGAAUGUAGUGGUAGCUGCAAAGAUUUGAAAAAAUUAUAAUAUUAUUUUUUGGUGUGUUUUUAGUAAAUUUAAGGUACUAGAUAAAUUUUAUUAGUAUUUUAAUGGUGAUUUAUAUUUUUAAGUUUAAUUCUUCUCUAAAGAUCAAAAUUAAUUAAAAAAUAUAUUUGCAAUUGCAUGAUUUUAAAACUAUAAACUACUGUAUGCAUGUAUAUACGUGUAUAACUGUGAAGGUGUAUCGUAUUAUGUUAAAGCAGUAAUGUCUUUAAUUUUUGUGUCACUGCAACGUCAACUGCUUGUUGCCAUGACAUUAUUAUAUAUAAAAAAAAUUAUUAACUAGAUGCCAAUUGCAAACAUUCUUUUACUUUCUAAAACAAUCUCGGUUCAAUGUUUUUAUGAUUCCACACUCAAAACUCACAUCAAUUUGUAAGAAGAUGAAUCAAAUAGAGUCCAAAGUAGCGAUGAUGAUGUUAUUUUAUUUUCUAAUUGAUUGAAUAACUGAAAUAUAAAAUACAUUUUUUAUUAUAUUCAUUCUUUAUUUUGAUUUCUUAAACUUUUUCUCAAUCAAAAUUGUAAUUGUGAUUGAGCAUCUUAAACUUCAUACAUGUAUUGUCUUGUUUGUGUAACCAUCUAUAUAUUAACAAAGAUUUUUUUAAAAAAUAAAUUAUUAUUAUUAUUAUUAUUAUUAUUAAUUCCCUACAUUUCCACAGUUCUUUUUAUACAGCAGGACCAUCAAUAAUCCAUUUGAUCCGACUUGAGCUUAUUCUUUUAUACAAAAUACAACAAUGGUGGCAUUAAUCAAUUCCAAUCUAUAAAUAUGGAUAUAUAUAAUUAAGUAUAACAACCAAUUUUAUUUUAAAUGAAUAUGCAACAAGAAUUUUUCUUAUUAAUAAGUACCAGAGUGAAGCAUGAGCAUUUAAUUCUAAAAUAUACAAAAAAAAAAAUAGAGCUUUUUGCAAAGAUUAUGAAGUAGAAGAUACAAAAAAAUUUCCUUUGAUUGGCUGGAAUUUAUGCGAUUAAUUAGUAUUUUUUAUAAUAAUAACUAGUCUUGGUGGUAGAUAGUCAUUAAAAUAUUACAUCAUAGUCAUUAUUCUAUGAUAAACUCAAAAUUAUACAAAUUAAGUUUUGAUGCUUGAUUAAAUAUAUAAGCAUUUUAAAAAGCUUAAUGAAUAAUCAUGUAAAUAAAAGUAUUUAUAAUUUUAUAUAUUUUAAAAUAAAUAUUAAAAUUAAAAAUACUAUAUUAAUAAUUUAUAGUUAUUAAAUAUUUCUACAAGUUUCAUUAAAUUAUAUUAAUUUUAAAAAAUUACAAAUUUUCUAAUAAAAAUAUGCAAGUCUUAAAUUUAAAUACAAACUAUUUAAUCUUAAAUAAUAUGUCCAUUUUGUUUUUAAAAUGACAUACAUCAAAACACAUAAUAUUUUUAUAUGAUUUAGAAAUAUAAUCUAAUAUAAAAAAUUUGAACAAGUUUGUCAAAACAUCUUCCAUACAAAACAAGGAAAUAAAAGAUCAUUCUUCAAAAAAAUAUUUAUAAGGAUUGGAAGGUACAUCAAUGGACAGAUGAUUCUACUCCAAGUUUAUUAUCAAUUUUACAAAACAAGUACCUAGCUUGCACUCUAACCUUUUUAUUUUGUUUAUUUAUCAUUUUUGUGUCUGUACAAAUAUAAAUAUUAUGUAUUUUCUUUUAAUUUUUUUCGGUAGCUUAUUGACUAGCAACCAACUAUUAAGAGUUCCUAAACUUUGACAGAAGGAGUGCAAUAUUAAGAAUGUGGGAUUUUAAAAUAAAAUAUACAAAAUAAUUUAUAAAAAAAUUGAUAGAAUUAAAGGUUUAGAGUUUAUUAAAAUACUUUGCUACAAAGAACUGUUUAUCUUUUAUGUUCAUCCAAUACCAAGUACUAGCUUGGUAUCUAUUCUACUAUGAUUAUUUGCUACUCCUAACCUCAAUAAAAGUAGGUAGAUAGGAAGUAGAAGUUAAAUCCAAAUUUUUAAAAAAUAAUUCUGCCUUCCACUGAAUUAAAAAAAUAAUAGCAAAAGAGACUAAAUAAAUAGCAAAAGAGACUAUGUAUUAUUAAAAAGCUUUUUUCAACUAUUAAGAACUAUCUUUAACUAAUAAGAGAUGUAAAAUUUGAUACUUGCUAGCAAAAAGUCCAUUACAUUUUUUCACAUGCUAAUUUAUCAAAUCAUGUUUUAAAAAUAAGAGAUUUCUUGAACAAACCAUCCUUGAAUGGAUUGUUCUUAUGAACUCUAACAUCAAAAUACCUUUAACUAUAUCACACCCUUGAACCAACAACUAAUAGUAGUAAGAAACCACUCAAUUAUAUCCUAUAAUUGCAAAAUACCAUAUUGUUUUUAUCAUAUUUUUUCAUAUCUUCUUUUGAAGAUGGUGGCACUUUGAAGCAAGUGUAGGAAAGUGAUGCCACAGACUAAUUGGCUACUUUGGAUAAGAGGCAGCUCAAACAAGUGACAACUAAAUACCACCAACCAUCAUUUCUUUGUAUAUAAUUUUCAAUCAAAUAAUCUAGAAGCACAAGAUAAAAGAGAUGAAGUUGAAGAAGAGGACUAGGAGCCUAUAACACAAUUCUUGAAGUUGUCUUUUGUUACUUAAUUCAACUAGCAACAACAUAAUCUAGUGGUGGAUUUUGCAAGAUACAUUAUACUUUCCUCAUGUGAGUAUGAAAAAGUAGAAAAUUUAGUGAGACUUUGAGACAAAGCUCUAUAAGCAAAGAAAGACCAUCAGAGAGAAAAGAAAAGAAAAAGCUAAAAACAAAAGGAAGCAUAGCAAGGAGAAACUAGUGCAUGGCACAUAGUGGAAUGAACAAAGCAGAUCUAACAAUGAAAGUUAUGGGCCAUGGAAAAGGCCACCUUCUAAACAUAUUGUGCUACUGAAUAAGAAGCGGUAAAGUGUGCAAAGAAAUUGCAUGCAAAAGAGGCCACCAUUACUCAAAUUAUGAAAGCAAUCAAAUAAGCUAGAGCUAUGGCAAAGAGGUAUAGAAUUUGUACAAGGAAGAUAAUGGAGAGUACACAUACAUGCCAAACAAUGAUUUUAGAGGAUACAACAUCUAACCAAGCAAGUGUCAAAGAACCAAGUUGCGAGAAGCCAUAGUUUUUUACUCUAAUAUCACCAUUUGGAUCCUACAUUUUACCAAUCAAUUGCCACUUUUGCUUCCCUUCUUACUUCAACCUCCCUUAAUUUCCACCAUUUGACAUCUAUUUGCAUUCUAUAAGGCUGCAUACACAAUUUACUUCACUAUUCACAAAUAUGUUAGAGAGGAUAUUUUAUACAAGCAAUGCAAAUUAAAGACGCAUUCCAUGGGGCUUUGAUUUGGAAGGAAAUGACAAAAAGAAGAAGGGUGUAGACUUUGCUCAUGUGAGAACCUCCAUAGUUGUAAAAAAGUUUGAUAUACUUUCUAUUGUGGAAUAGGCCUUCUUUCAUCAAUAAUUUGCUUUGGCCAUUUUCAAUUAGCUUAUAUAGUUUUAGAAUAGCUCCAUGUAAAUUUGAGAUAUGAGCAAGUGGUUUUGGGGCCUGAACUCUUGUCAUUUGAAGCAGGCUAACAUGUGCAAUAUGUGCAACUGGCCACAAUUUUUACCUCCUCCUCCAUGGUUUUUGGUCAUUAUUGUAAUGACUUCUUUCCCACAUGCAUGUGCUCAUUAAGCCUAGAUUUUGUACAAAAUCCCAUCUAUGUGAUUGCUAAUAUGGUGGCUUCAUGAUCCCAAUUUUUGCUU
rnacentral:lncRNA from 1 species